rnacentral:lncRNA from 1 species
UAUUCUUGAGUUAUAUUUGAGUUUUAACAACUUGCCAGACUGAUAAGACCAUUUGAUUUGCAGGUUAAAGGAGUUCAUCAAGGAACAAUUAGUCAGCAUUCCCAUUGCUCCCCGUCCACCUGCCCCAGUGCCACCAACACCUUCAGUAGCCCAACCAGUUCCACCAGCAGCACCGUCAAACGAUCCUGGAGCAAUGCUGGCAGGUUUGCUGUGACAAAUUAGCAGUGAGUACCCGCGAAUAUUUGUUCAAUAUACACUUGUAAACCUGAUUUCUACAACCGACCUUCCCAUCUGUCCUUCCAAUUAAGAGGUGGAUAGGGAAAAUCAUGAUGCGAGGGCUGGCGGAAUUGAGGGUGACCUAAUUUGUGAUCGGCUUAGUGUUUGAGUGAGGGUUGGUCGGGAUUUUGAGAUUCUUUUCUGCACAAUUUUACUGCGCCUGGGUGAGCUUUUUAUGUCUUCUGGAAUAGAGGUUUUUUGAUUUCUUUCCAUUCUUUUUUCCCUUACUCUUCCCAGUUUCACUGGAUUGUUUUCUGUAGUACAAAUAUGUAUACAGUUUGUAAGAUAUUGCAUGAGCUAGAUCGAGUUGUGAAUUAAGACAGAUUGUAUUUGUUUGUCAAUCAAUCAUUUUAAUAGAUGAAAAUAAUAGAGCAUUUAUGUGAUUUACUCGAAUGGGAUUUUCCUUGAAAACUAAUAGAUUUGUUGUGUGUGUAUGCAUAUACAUGCAUACAUGUACUGGGUUGAGAAAUGCAAUUUAUUCAUACAUAUUUAUUUUUUUAUACGAAAGACAGAAAUAUGAAAAAGAACAAAGGAUUCCACUUUUAAUCUUUUGCUAUUCUCCAAGUAAAAUAUGGUGACAGAAAUCUAAUUUGUACAAGCAAUGCAACCGGAUAAGCACAACCAAAAAAAAUUGCUUAUCUUUCUAGAUCGCUGUAAAUAAUCUAAACCAGCAAAUCAAUUCUACGGUUCAGUUUACACCAUAACCGAUUUCCUAACUUUCUCCAAUUCUGCUGAAUUCCUUGAAUCAGAUUGGUUAUCAACACCUUGACUGAUUCCAGUUGCUCAAAAGGGAACUUCACAGGAGGCAACCAUAUAACCAAAAUUGGCAACUGAGCAGCAGCAGCAAUUUCUAAUCAGCAGCAGGAACCACUCGGCCUUUACACUGUAGAAUUUCUCCACCUUCACCGGCAACCGAAAAAAGAAUGUUAAAUUUGCAGACCCUGAACCUCACUCUCAGUCGCCAUUCCAUCCACAAAGUUUGUCAAAAAUGACCCUAAAUAAAAUCCCCAUUCAACAAUACACCCCCUCAAAUUAAAACGGCACAAUCUUUUAACCUUUACUCCUUCAGGCAUUGCAAGUUUACCGCCAGUCUCGGCAAUUGCCACAUUUCCAACUUCCUUCCAUGUAUGAAGACUCCACCCAAGGCCAAGGUGAACAUUGACUAUGUAUUACAAGGCCACAAAUUUGGCAUGAGAGAUUAGGAGCUGGCUCAAUAUCAGGGCACAUUCGACACUGCAUUUUAUUAACCGUCGAGACCGUACAAUUGCUUGGAUCCUUAGAUGUACCCAACCCACAUUGUUGAGGGGCUCCAUCUUGUUGAAUUGAACAAGAAAGAUCUUCCCGGUUUCCAAACACAACCCCAGAAGCAUCAACCCCAUCCGACUGCCCACCAUCAUCAGAAGCCAGCAACUCUGAAAAAGAAAAGUAGGUUUGGGGUUCGAACUCCAUAUCCUCGUAGUUAAGACCGUCAUAGUCAAACAGCAUCUCACCUUCAAGGCCAUUGCCAGAAGCAUCCCAUUCCACACAAGGAACUGAAAGCUCCUCUUUAGGGUUCAUGACAUUAUUUGCAUCAAAACUCAUGGAUAAGUCGACAUUAGGAACAUUAUUCCCAACAGACCCACUACCUACAUCCCCUUCACACUUCGUUUGCCUUCUGACUGGAAGUUUUUGUGGCCCUGGUGCAGAAUUAUUCCAGCCACAAUCCACCUCUGAAUUGGGCUCUGUGAUAAGCUCAACUGUCGAAAGAGAGAAAAGAAGAGGAUCGUCUUCUGGCAUAAACAUUUCCUCCAUCGGAUACAUUGGAGUAGUGAGUUUAAACUCCUUUGAUUCAUAAAUGGUACCAUCAUCAGAAUCUACCCUCAUAGAUCCCUGCCCCUGUUUAGGAGCAUUCAACCCUUGCUUCUUGCGCUUUUGAUCCUUCUUGCGCUUUUGAUCCUUCUUGCGCUUUUGCUCCUUCAGUUCCGGGUCCAUGUAGGGACACUCAGGUCCUCCUAUCCUACGACAUCUGCAACACUUGAAACCUACUACAUCAGAAAGUUUUGACUCCUCAAGUUCAACAGCAUCAGCAUGAAACCACCCUGCAAAUGACCAGAGAUCCAAAGUGUCAUUAAGAUACGUAUAAUAAAAAAUUGAUAUCUUCAGGUAAAAUGUAAUAGCAAAAACUAUCCAAAGUGGCUUACUUUGGCAAGUUUCACAGUGAAUGUACAUCAGAUUAGAAUUAUAUGGCUGUUUACACAGAUCACAAACAGGCUCCAAAUGGGCAACUGACUUGCCCCUUGGGAGUACAUUUGCACGCCUGAAAUCAGCACCUGCAUCUUCAAUGUUCUUUUUCCUCCAUAUGAUUCCCCAAGACAAUGUUCUAUUUCGAGUUUUCGUCACUGUACUAGAAUCAGAAACUGUUUGUUUGCUCUCAGAACUCUCCUGAGUUCUGAUAGAUGCCAAUGCUUGAUUAAAACCUUUAGGUCGUGUUCCUUUACUGACUUUUACUGCAGUAUGAUAUUCUUGCCGAUGCAAGGGCAGUGGACUGGUUGGAGAUUCGCUACGAAUUUCACUUGUAGCUAAAGCUCUUGGAAGGUAACAUCGAUUGCAGACAAUCAUGGGCUCAACUCCACUGUUCAUAUGCAUUGAACUUGAUGUACAACCCUCAUGACAAUAACCUUGCCAAAGUACAGAGCAAAACUUCAACAUUAUUCAAUUCUGCAACAACAAAUAUAGCAGCAAGCAUCCUAUCUCUGAUGACAUAACAGACUCUCCUCAUUUUAAAGUCAUCUAACUUGAAAUUACAAUUAUAGCCAAUUGUAAUAAUCUUAUUUGUGGGCUAAACAUUUAACUAAGAACUGCUUAUAUAUCUUCAGAACACCUAAACACAAUUAUUACUUAUUUGCAGUACUAUUCUAUUUGUAUGUGCGUAGACUAACAAUUGUUUCAAUCAUUCCAAGAGAAAAUAAGUAAAUUUUCCAUGCUAACAACAUAUUAUUUACAAGGUGAGUUACCUGGAAAAUAGUGAACCUCAAUUACACUAAUUGAAAGUUCCAGAAUGUUUAAUUAUAGUCCCCGAAACAUUCCCAAAUUUCAAAGGAUACCAUGGCACCUUUACUUAGAGGAACAGAUUUCUUUUUCUUUUCCUUUUUUAAAUUAUGAAAAAAAAAAUUAAAACAGAGAGAGAGAGAGAGAGAAAGAGAGAGACAGGAUCACUAUAUAUUUAGCUGACUUCAAUAUUUUCACAACUGCCAAGCAAUCAAAAACUUUUGACUCUGACAAUUGCUGAGGGCCCAAUUGCUCAAAGGACCCUUAUCUUAUAUGAGCAGUAAGAGAACAUUGGAAAAUAUUCCUGGAAAACAAGCUCCAAAAUUAAUUCUGCUUCACUUUUUCUUCCUCUCAUUCUUCUUCGGGUUCAAAUUUUGGCUGGAAAUUCAUCAAAUCUAAUUUAUUAUUGGAUUGGUAAAGUUUUGUUUUUUAUCCAUGCAUUUUUUAUGUCCCACCAAUUUUAGCAACCAGCUGAAUUCUAACCAGGUUGAUCACUUUUUUAAGUUUUUACAAAGAGCAAUAGCCACUUUCAAUGGAAAAAAAAGAGCAAGCGUGUAAGAAAUAUAUGGCAUUUUGUUUAGCAAGUACGACAAGUUGUCCACCAGGUUUCUUUUUUCCUCUAUAUUUCUUUUAGAGGUCCAAAAUACAGCAUCUAAAACAUACACGAACAUCUACAAUGCAUUUGACAGCUUUUCCUUCUGCAAAAAAAAUUUCUCAAUCUCAAUUUUUAAUGGUUCACAAGUUUUACUUUUUGUAGACAAGAUGUUGAACGAAAGUGAGGUAAACUUAAGACACUCAAUUAAAAAAGGGGGUAUAAUAUCAAUUAUAGGAUGUAGGCAUACGUCAUCUGCAAGUGUCUUGAAAGAGCCAAAAGAAGGAAACUUAGGCUGCCAAUAAAGCGGCUAUAAAAGAAAGGGGUAGUAAUUAUCAGAUAACAUGAGGAAUGGGAAGCCAAAGUCCAGGAUACGCAAAAAUAUUAUAUUAUCUGUGAAAUUUUUGACAUAGAUAUUGACAUAAAAGCGGAGGUAAACAACUGGGAAUCCUAAGACAUCUCUAAAACAAAAAACUGAUAGGUUGGUGAUUAGCAUACCUUGGCAGGUACCACAUUUGACCGCAUUCCUGAAGAUCACAUCAUGAGAAAAGACAGAUGAGCUGAGGCAAGUAGGUGCAAAAACCCAAAACUAAAAUAAUGUAAAAUAUAAAAAGUAAUUACCCAAGCAAAACAUCAAUUUGACACGAUGCACAUGCACACUUCUCAAUCUUAUCCCUUCUACACACAAGAUAUGAAAAUAAAUCCUUUCGGGAAGCUUUCAACUGCUUUUUCUGAAACUCAGACAACUCAUUUAAGGGCUUUUUAGAUGAUGGCGCAAUCACCAUGUCCACACUUUCUUCAUACUCUUUAAUCAAAAAUAAAGGAAGGCACGUUUCAGGAAACCAGUACUUCUCCUUGCCAUCUUGACUGAGCUCUAUAUCAAUGAUAUUCUUCAUAACACGGGAAGGAAGAUGCCUAUGAAUUCCAAAAGCGACUCCAUAUCUAAUCUUGUUUUCUACAAUUUUCUUAUCGCAAAUAAUUGCAUUUCUAAAAGCAAAAGCUUCUGUCUCUGGACCCUUUCCAUCCUGGAGAUUCUGCUCGGGACGAACAAGCUCACUCCAUCUCACAUGAAGGUCUAUAUAUCUAACCUGAUGCAAAAAUUUCAAAAUACUUUGAGAAAUCAUAAAACCAGAAACCCAUUAUAUUAUCAGAACAAAAAGAAAAUAUGCUAAAAGUGUAAGAAAGAAGGUAAUAUAAUAACUCAAAUGGUAAAAUAUAUUUAGACAAACCUGAAGUGCAAGCUGUGACACAGUCUUACUCCUUUCAACCGCAGCUCUCCAAACCAACUGCCUGCUUCUUUUAGGCAUCUCUGCAGUGUAAUUAACACCAGAGAUCUUUCUCAAACCACCUGAUGAGCCAUAAAAUCAUGAAUAUUUUUUCCCCCUUUCAACUAAUUUAACUUAAAAUUAAAAAUUAUAACAGUAAGUAUACACCAUAGAUGAUACCUCGGCGAGCUGCAUUUCUAAUGAUUGUGUGCGGCAAAAUUGCUUUCUUAGAUAUUAGCUUUGUUGACUUCCCUCCUUGCCACCAGCUGAAACUUUGGUCAUUGCAAUCAUCAGCUGUAACUUCAGAAAUAACAGAAUGCUUCCUACCCCGCUUCCCACUUAAUCCACGUUUCUGGGUAGUUACGAAAUUGCAUGAAGCACUUUGUAUCACAGAAGAGUCACCCAGCCAAUCAUCCAUCGACUUCACCCAGUCCCCAGAAAGAGCAAUAUGGCAGAUGUUUUCCUCAAGCUGAAAAUGAAGACUACAAGGUCACAAGACUCGCAACGCAAAUAACAUAAGCAUAUGGAUAAACUCUGUAAUAAUUAAGUCAUACAUUCACAAACAGAACAUAAAAGACUGUAUGCAUCCUAAGGAAAUGGUCAUAAUUACAUAUAUAGAGCAUAAAAACACUAUGGCCACAGCUGAAUGCCUGAACAAUCUCCAAGGUCUUUAAUAGCUCAUGAAAUCUUAUACAAUUUAGCUAAAAUAAUUAAGCGGACACAAGUGUGCCCCCACUGCAGCAAGUUCCUGAUACUUUCUGGAGGAAGGAAACAAAAUCUAAGGUUUAUCAAAAGUUUGGUCUGAAAUGGUGGGAAGUAGUGUGAACACAGGAAGAUUAAAUGAUCCAUUUAAUUAAAACUCAACCCAAGAAGGAAUGAAACGAAGAACUCAGAAAUGACCAGAAAAAUGUCUUAUGGUCUCAUGACCACUUAACAAGCUUAAUCAUGAGUGAAGCACUAAAAUCAAAAAGUAUCAUUCCCUCAGCAUAUUAUAAAACAAAUAGCCAAUGAAUUUGAUAUGACAAAACAUUAAAGUACAUUCAAGAGUAUGGAAAAGCGGCAGUCACAGAUAAUACAUGCGCAAGACCAUAUAUAUAUUCAGUGCGAAGCAUUCCUAUUUCAUUUUAAAUGCAUCUAGAAGAUAGAAUCAGCUACUAAGAUACAAGAAAUUCAAGGUAUAUCUACAACAAUCAACAAUCAACAAUCAAACAUAUGCUACAUCAUGUGAAAAAGAAAUGUCCUACCAAUCUUAAUAAUCAAAACCUACUUAUAUAAAAUCCAGGAACUUCAAAUCAUAAUAAAAUAAAUAAACAAAUUGAAACAAAUAUAUGCAUGAUAAUAAACAUGCCAACAAACUUUAUUGUUUUUGGGGGGGGAACUCACUUCUAGCAAGAGGGCUUUUAUCGAAUUCAAAGUACAAGCCUCCGCAACUUGUUUACGCCAUUUUUUUCUAUAACUUACGCUCCUAAAGGGGCCACUUAUAAGACCACAAAAACUCUCUUCCAUGUACAUAAUGUAUGUCACAAUAGUAGGGAGAUUCCCCUCCCCAGUCUUUGGAGCAAGAAGGCCAUUGAGAAUUUUCAUAGCACUUUUAGUGGCAACUGUCAUAGCUGAAUUCAACAUGCAUCCUCUCCUAUUUGAAGGUGGGGAUUUACAUGAAUAACACCAGCUACACCUCUCCCUUGGAACCUCCCAAAGCUUCCUUUCAGAACAGGGCCAGAAAAACCGCGAGGCUGUUGAUGAAAAUGCUUUUGCUUGCAGUGAAAUGCUACCAGACAUAGCUUUUCUGGUAUUGCCUGAUUUAUGCAUCUCUGAAGCUUGGCUUUCCUCAGAUGAAAGAACGGCCAAUUUUGCAGCCGCAGCCACAGCAAAUUCUCCAUGCAUAUAUUGAUUUAUAUAUGAGUGAGGUUUGAAAACAGAGCCCAUGAAUGCACACUUAUUGGCAUAGUUUGUUCCAACUCCUAAAAGACCUCCAUGAUUUCGUUCCUUGCUCAGAAAUGAGAUAUUUGGUGAUAAACAGGAACUUGCAUGCCCGCUAUUACCAUCAUUGCUGAUUUGUGAGGUGCAAGUCAUAAAGUCUAUUGCACUUGAUCUGUCAACCAAGCUUUGGUAGGUUACAUCAGAUGGAUCAGCUUGCUGGCUAACCGAACCAGUAGACAUGGCAGACUCCAUUUUGACAUGUCCAGGUAGCUUCCCAUUCAAUACGAGACAAUCCUGUAAUUUUUCUGUUACUGUUAUAUCAUUGCUCUGAACAAAAGGAACACCAGUUUGGGACAUUGUAUUCAUAAAGGUGUGUAGACUUGAAACAGCCACAUUAUCCACAUUACUUCCGUUGUUACUACUUGCAUUCCCAGCCUCAACCAUAUCUGUAAUUCUUUGGCUUUCCUUGAUCGGAGGAUGAUGCGAUUGACUACAAAACUUUUCAUCUGCCUUUGCAUUUAUUGUAUUAGUUUCCAUUCCCAUAAAAGGGACAACACUUUCUGGAAUGUCCCAAUAGUGUAGAAUUGCCUUGCAAAUCCCCAAGUACAAUGAUACGUGUUGCACAGAUGAUAAAAGUGCUUGUAAGACCUUGGGAAUGUCAAUCGGAUUGUAGUAUCUGAUAUACUGUUCCGUGUUACUGGAAGCAUUGAGCCUGAAAUAAUCAAUUUCAAAAAAUCAGUCAAAACACUUGGGCAUCGUCCAGAAAAUAAAGCCAAGAGACUAUAAUAAAGGAUGAAAACAAAGUUUUAGAUAAUUUUUCCAGUCAAAAGGCAAACAGUAACAAACUACAAAUUCAGUACCACAAGUUUUACAGAGCGAAUACCAGAAGUGGAUAGCCAAAAGUUAAAAUAAAAAUUGUAGUUAAUGAGAAAAGUAAGAUGUAGAAAGCUCUGGAAACAUACACCAGUAAGUGAUUGCAUGUACCCAGGAACACUCGCUCAUAUAAAUCAAUCCCAAAUAAUUCUGCUCCUCUAAGUGAGGUUCCAAUUGUGACAAUCGGGCCCACUUUAUUAAUUGCACAUUCCGGACAAUACCAUGACCCUUCUGGUACAUACAUUUUGGAGACACCUAUACAUCUUGUGUGAUAUGCCGAUGGGCACCCAUCACAGCAAAGCAAGGUCCCAUCCAUUCCACAAAUGCGGCAUUCAUCACCAUUCCCAUCCACAUCAACACCCGGAGCAUCCAUCUCAGUACCUUUAAAACCCAAAGGUUUUGCUUUACAAGAAGUCUUCAUUCGAUCAUUUUCAGCAUUAAAUUCCACAGCCUCCCUAUUCUUGCAAUCCGGAGUUUUGGAAAAUCUAGGAUGGACCCUUCUACGCGCAAUUUCAGAACCAUAGCUUGCUGCAUCAGGAUCUAAUCCAACUUCUGAUUCUUCACGUGCGUCAAUUUCAGCUCUCAGCUCUUCAGAAUCUAACACAUCAUCACACAGAAUUUGCAAAAUCAUCAGCUUCCUUCCUGCAGAUAAGGAAUAAUACUCUCUCACUGAAACCUCAUCAUAAAAUCCUGUCCACUGGGUUCCCUUUAUGUAUCCCAUUGACGUGAGAUACUGGACCACAUAAACGGGCCAAGUUAGUGUAUCAAGCAGGCUCCAAUCAAUGCACCUGUGUACAAGAAAAUAACAUGAUUCUGCAAUGUCAGUGAAAUAAAAAGUAAAUGCAUCUUCAUACAUGCAUACGUCAUAGAUAUGAAUAGGGAGGAUAUAGUCAUGCCAAAAAAUUACUUACACACUUAAAAUGAAAAACACAACAAAAUCCAAUUAGUCAAAUAGUCAUAUUAAACUGCAUCGAGUAAGAUUUACAGUCUUGUUUCCUAAGACAAAAUGGUUCAAAAUCUAACCAUUUUCAUGUUUCUUGCAGCAACCACCAGUAGAAUAUGAUGAACUAUAGAUACAAAUGAAAAACAUCAUUUCUAGUAUUGCACGCAUUCUACACCAUAAUGCACUAACAAAGACAAUAAAAAUUUUACCUCAUGCAAUUUGAUGCAAGCUCUGAGCCAUCCAAAGAGAGUGUUUCAAGAUGACGCCUCAAGACACGCAUCAACGCUACAUGAAUGGCAUCCAGCAAUGUGUUCGGAACACAACAAUUCAGUGACCCAACAAAAUCAUCCAAUCCAAUCGGGCUUAAAAACAGGUGUAUGCCGAAUGACCUCAAGAACCCAUAGACAGAAAAAAGAUGUGAAACAUAUUCCUCUGGCAUACCUAUAGUCCCCGAAGAUGGAGGCAAUUGUGGAGGUGGAAGAAGUGGGGUUUCAGCCUCCAAUCCUGCAUCUGUCUCCCGCACAUGCUCACAUGAAUCACUAGAUGAGUCCAUAUCACCUUCAACUUGUUCACCAACAUCCUCAACUGUCAGGCCACAACUCACCUCGCUCAAUGUGGAUGCUUCUAUCCGAUCCACCUCACUCUUUGCAUCCCCAUCUUUCUUCUCUAAAUUACUCUUCUCGUUCUUCAGACUCCUUUUCACCAGCCAAUCAUCCAGCUUCUUCCUCCUCCGAGUUAAAUCAGCAUCAAAAUCAUUCUCAUUUAAAAGGAAUUGACGAAGCUCACUACUGUCCAAAUCCUCACAAUCACCAUCCUCAUAAUCCACCCUAUACAAUCCGCUUUCAUAAUACACAAUUUUUCCUAAAAAUAUCCCACUCUCAAAUUCUUUCAACACAUAUCUACCGACUAACGCAAUUGGUUUCGCCUCAACAGCAACAACCCGCUUCUUACCCCCAGCACCAUCGGUAACAUCCUCAUCCUCCGGUCUCUUUCUUUUCCUCGGCCUACCCCUUGGCCUUUUCACCUUAGCCUCCAUCUAUUAGAUCGAUAACGAACCAAUCAGACCAAAUCAAAUCAAAAACCAAGAUUCACCUAUUCAUAAAUAACUCUAGGGUUCCACAAAAUCGUAUAAUUUGCUGAAGUUUUAACAUAUGCUUCCUUUCAAGUAACUAAGAGAUCCAGAGUUCGUGCAGAUCCUAUACAAACGAAUCACGCGACACAAAAUCAAUAACGAAUCGUACUAACUGUUAAUUAGACAAAAGAAAAUUUGAAAAAACAUGGUAUUUUUUAAAAAUGGAGAGAUAAAGUAAUAGAUUGAAUGAUUUUUAUAAGUAGAUAGAAUUGAAGUUUUGAUUUAUUAUUUAUUUUUAAAAGUUUGAGGAAAAAAGAGCACCUAGUUAGGGUUUAUAAAUUGUCAUCGAUUUUUUUUUUUCCUCUUCUGAUUUUUCUGGUGUUGUGUGUUUCGUGGGGAGAGAAGGAUUAGAAGCCCUAAAAAAGAAAGCCUCCCUUUCUCUCUCUCCAUAACUUCAUAUGUAACGAGUUAAAUAUGUAUUAGUUGUUCGUCUUUCACUCACUGAGUUGGAAACUCGGAAUCUUCGAGUUAGGAUUUCGACCCGUUCGAGUCGAAUAAGAAAUUAUUAUUAUUAUUUUUUUAAUUACAUGACAUGGAGGCGUUUGCCUAUAUAUUAUUAAAAUGAAAAAGGUUAUAAUCCGGUGGAAGUAUUCUCAUAAUAUACGGAUUAGUGAAUAUACAUUUUAAAAAGAAUAAAUAAUAGGUUAUUUGACUUUUUUUAGUUUAUUAUUCUCUGUCCUCCAUUCUUCUCCUUUAAUUUAAUGUUUGUUGCCUACAAAAAAUUUAAUUUUUAUCAAAUAAUACAAAAGAAUAAACAUAAUCACACUUAUUUGUAAAUAUAUUUGUAACUUACAAAUAAGUUAAAUGAGAUAUUUAUUAUCAAAAACUACUUUUAUCUAAAUGAUGCUUCCUUCUUCUUUUUUUAACGUGAUAUACAUUAUAAUUGGGAUUUAUCAAAAUAUAUAUAUAUAUUUAUAAUAUUCUAAAAGAUUUACCAAGGUUAGCUAAAAGAUUAAUAUAUCUAGUGUAUUUAUGGAUAAAUUUAUUAUUAUUUCAUAUUUUUGUGAAAAGAUAAAAUUUUCUCAUGAGGAUUCAAACUUAUGCAUUUCAUAACACUAAUCUACAAUUGGACUUGUCCAAACUGACUAUACAUAGUAAUAAUUUUAAAAUAUUGUAUCUAAAUGGCAAAAAAUAAACCAUUAUUUUUCUAAUUUAUGUACAUAAUUGGUUUUAAAAAAAUCAAAAAUCAAAAUAUUUAUUAACUUAAACCUAUUUGUCUUCAUGAUAUUUUAUUUGUAUUGUGUCAGGUGAUAAGUUUAUUGAUAAUUGUAUCAGAAUUUAUUGGAUCCUAUUUUAAUAGAAUUUAAUAAAAAUUAAUUUGAAAAUAUAUUAUUUUGCAUGAGAUCUACUAUGACAAUCAGACUAUAAAUGAGACUAUUAUUGAGAUUAUUUUACAUAUAUUCUUAUAAAACACUAUCUAUAUUUUUACUCUCACUAAUAUUAGAAUGAUGUAUAAUCCUCUCACAUUUAUAAGGGAGAAUAUUGACCUCCAGUUGAUUAAAUGAUAUAAUUAAAGAAAGACUUAAGUUCUCACAAUAUUUUUAUAGGGGCUUAAACUGUGAGGACAGCAACCCAACCACUCGCCUAAAGGUGGAAUGACGCACGAAAGAUCUACUUUAAAAAUGAAGUAUGGGGUAACUUGGCACAAGUUUUUUUUUUUUUUUUCCUUUCCUUUGAUUAACCAAAAACCAUAAAUCCAAUCAAACUUGAUAAAUAAAAUAUAUUGACGUCGGAUUAGAUUGUAGGGCCCACACCAUUUGGUCAAAACUGAUUUCACAAAAGUCCACUUGUACACGAUUUACCCUCUCCGACAGAGGAGUCAACGACGUAUUUGAGAAACGACUAAUAAAGCAUUCCUAAAAAGAAAAUUAAAUAAUAUCCGGAGCGGAACACCAACUCGCUGUGUAGCGAGUGAACUCAGAGUUCGUUACCGAUCCGGGUGACGCUCUAAGCUGCUCUUUCGCUGAAACUUACGUAAAGCAAAUUUGGAUAUAUUUAUUCAUUCACAUAAGCUAAAUGGAACAGAUUAUAUAAACAAAAUGGCGGGAAAAUUAUUCAUUUUUGUUAGGAGGUACCCGCCAAUUUCUUCAAAAUAUAGGAAAUAAAUUUUGAUAAUAUAUUUCGCCACUUGUGCUACGCAAUUUGAAAUGGUACAUGAACGAUCAUGAAAUUAAUUAAUAACCUAAAAUUAUUUUCUCCGGGUAAAACUUUUUGACAAUUAGCCGUAUAUGUUGAGAGUUUAUUUUAAUUUCUCUUCAUUUUAUUUUAUUUUUCUAUUUUUGCAAUGAAUAAAUGGACCCACUUUCUAUUUUAUUUGUAACAUGUUAUAUUGUUAUGGUUUAUAGAUCAGUACAUUUUCUCGGGGGUAGAUCUGGGAAUCUGUUGGUUUGCUAUUUUUGGUGUGGUUAAAUUAGAUUGAUUCGAAAUUAGGUUAGAUUAAAUCAUUGUUUUAGAACAAAUCUGCAUGUGUAAAGUCAUUCCACAAUUUUUUUAGGCAAUAAUUUAACUUUUUUAUUUUAAUGGAAUUAUAAUGUGAUAAAUUACUGAUUUAUUAAGGGCCAAUUUGGUAAUAUUGUAACGUUUAAAAUAAUUGUCUUUAGCUGCACUGUAUAAAUAAUCAACUAAAAAGAGAAUUUGUAAAACAUUUGAUAAAAUUUAUUUUUAAAAGUACAGUGAAUUUUAAAAGCAGUCAUAUGUAUUUGUUAAAUUUUAUUGUUAAACUGCUUUAAAAAUACAAAUGAUUGAGUUAAAUAUAAUGUUGAAUAAAAUUUAUUUACACAUUUAUAAACAUGUAUAUAACGUACUUUUUAUUGUCUAUAUAUAAUAAUUGAUAACUAAAAUAAAUAUUUGUACUUUUAAAUUAUUUUUUAGUUUAUUAUCUCAAUAUAAUUGAUAAAAAAUAAUCUCUUUAUAAUUAAUGAUUUUAUUUUCUAAAUAAUAAGAAUAAUUUUGAUUUUUAAUAAUAUAUACGAGGAUAUUAAUGGAAUUAUAUUAAAUAUAAAAAUAAUUUUAAAAAUUAGAAUUUGAAAAGUCAUGCCUUUCUUACUUUUCAAAAUGUACCGUAGAAUGAAUGAAGUGAUUUUGAAAAAAAAAAUGAUUUUGAAAAAUAUUUACUAAAUACUAAAAUUAUGUUUUAACUUUUCAAAAUCAUUUUUAACACUCCAAAAAAACAAUCCUAAAUGGGCCAUUGGGCCCUAAGUAUAGAGUAUUUCAUAAUAAAAUUUUGCAUAUUUUUUAGUUGUGAAAAACGGAAACAUGCCUCGUUCUAAAUUUUGACAAACUAUAAUUUACAAACUUAUAGUAUAUCAAGAAUAGUAAUAUAUAUUUGUCUAUUUUUAUUCACAUUUAUGGGAGAAAUAUUAAACAUUCAGUCUAGUGGGAUUUAAACUAAUACCCUCAACAUUGUUGAAGGCACCUAUGACCUAUCCAUCAGUAUUCAAGAGACUAGUAUUUUGGGUUUAAUUAAAGAAAAAUAGACAAUCAAUCUCUGGCUUAAAUUGUCACAUUCUUACCACAUUAGUUUCUGUAUGUGUUACAAGAGUAAGUUUUUCCUUCUUCUUUUUUUAAUUUUGAUAUUAGAUCUACUUUGAAAUGUGUGAAUGAUCUUUCUAUUCAAAUAUCACUUGAAUAUACAUUUUUUUUUCAACUUGAGUUUUUGAAAUUUACUGGACGUAAGUUAUCAGUACAAGUCGACUCGUACUCUUUCAAAUAUUUAGCUACUUAUUAGUCAUUUAUCCCUUCAGUAUGUAUCCUUAGCUCAUUUAUUGUAAUCUUUUAGGACAUAAAAUAUUUCUUUUAUGACACAAUAAAGAUCUCAAUUAAUAGUUUCAAUAUCAAAUUAUUCAUUUUCUUUUCUGUAUUAUUCCGUUUAAAAACAAAAACAAAGACCCUUAAAUUAUUCUUUUGAGGCUUUGUACUGUUAACGGUCUAGAGAGCGUCUUGCAAAUACAGGCCCAUUUCUGCUCGAGCUGUGCUUCUCGACUCGUCGUCAAUUUGGAAUCUAGCAGUCACCUGUUUUCAUAAAAUAAACCAACAAAUUCUCAAACACAACCUUUUGACGUCUCUUUAGCUAUUCACUGCAGUAACAAAUCCGAACCCCAUCAUUUUGCGGAUCUGACCUUUGACGGCAAGAAAAACACCCGCUAUCAAAGCAUAACAAUAUAAAAAUUUCGAACCACCAAAGAUUCGGGUGAAUUAACCCUACAAUAAAUAUAGAUUUAUGAAGACAAAAACAGUCACUACAUGUUAGGGUGGUAAAAAGCUCUAAUUAAUAAUAAUAUGUGGAGAAAAAUGAGAGAAGACUAAAUGAAAAAUAAGAAAAAGAUGAAAAUUCUCACCCCUCGUCGACAAAUUUAAAGAAAAUGAAAAAUUUUGAUAGAAAACAUUAAAGUGAAAAAAAAAACAUGAAUGGUUCUAUAAUUAAUAAAAAUCAAUAAAAUUUCAUUAAUAAUAUCUUUAUGUAUUCGGCACCCAAUAUUACACUACAUUAUAAUAAUGUAUUGUAUCAAAUUAAUAUAAUAUUAUGUUUGACCAAAAUUAACUCUGUAUUAGAUCACAUAAAAUUACUGUUAUAAUACACCAAAUGCCGCAAAAAAAAACUCCUGGGUGUCAUAAUUACGCCUCACUGCAUUAGAAGGAGAAAAAAAGGAAAAAAAAGAAAAUUGAAGAAGACGGAGGAGAAAUGUCCACAACAAGAAGUAGAUGUCCACAACCACCAUCUCCGACGACGAAAGCGACCCUGCCGCCGCAGGCGCCGAUUCCACCAUAAAAAAAAAGCUAUACAAGCGUCGGAAAAUAGCCAUAUUCUUCGCAUUUUGUGGCAUCGGCCACCAAGGUAUGCAAAAAGAACCCAGGUGCCAAAAUCAUCGAAGGCGAUCUCGAAGACCCAAUAAUCAAAGCCACACAACUCUCCGGCAAAUCACCCAAAGGGAACUUAUAAGAAAAAUGAAGAAAAAAGCAGAGGAAAAGAAAAAGACAGAAAAAAAGGAAACAAAGGCAAAGAAAAAGAACGAAAAAGAAAACAGAGGAAAAGAAAGGAAAAGCAAAAGAAAGAAAAAGUAAUACAACAAAAAAAAGGCUUUUAAAGGAGAAAGAUAGGAAAAAGGGUACUGGCAAAUGUUGUUUUAUUGGACGAAGGAGUAUUACUUGGAUUAGUUAGCGCAAACUAUUUUGUUGGUCACUAUAUUACAAUUAUUUGAUCCCUUAUUAUUUUGUAAUUAUCUUAUGUCUUGUAUUAUUUUUAUUUUAUUAAUUUUAUAUAUUAGACUAAGAUUAAAUUCUUGGCUGCAUAAUAACCAUUAGUGCAUUUGUCCGAUCCUUAGAAAAGUUUGAUGAUGCAUUUUUUCUGCUUGUUUAAAUGUUCUGGACAAUAGGGAACGGUUGAAGAAAGAAUGGAAGCAGUGCAAGCACGCAAGCACAGAUUGAUAGCUGGUGCAUUGACUGAUCAAGAAGUUAGAUCUGCACGAAUUGAGGAACUAAAGAUGCUUUUUACUUGAGAAAAGGGAGAUUAAUUUUUUUCCCGGUUGUUUGUCAUGGGUAAUCAUUUUAUUGGCUUCCUAACUUAUUUUGAUGAAAGAUAUCUCCGGGUCAGGGGAUUUUGAACGUGGCACUGUUGUACGGCCAAGGCGUAUUAUAAUAUAAUAUAUUUAUAUUAAAAUAAUAUUAUACAAUACCGUAUAGCACCCACAUGUAAAAACUAUAAUCGCAGCGCAUCACCUAUUUUUUGACGGGUCCAGCUAUGUUGUAGCAGUAGUACGGUAUUAUUGUUGCUUUCAAUCAUUUGAUUUUAUUAAUAUAACUGUAUAAUUAUAGAUCCAAUAAUUAAUUACAAUUGUAAUACCGUACCUCUGUUGCAACAUAAUUUUGCCCCUUUUUGAUAUUCUGUUCACAUUUCACGUAUAAUUUUUUUGGCCCCUUUCGAAAAAAAAAAGAAAAAAAAAUGGCGGGAAUUAGACGCGCCACGGUAACAAUCACUCACUCCCUCCCCCUUGAUAUUAUUUAAUUAUUUCCACACCGCCGUUCCAUUUUCAAAGUCCGGUCGCUCGUUCUCAAAGAAACCACCGCGCGCUAACAUGCACCGCUGCUCUCCGUAGCACCGGGCCCCACACUUCCGUCGGAACUCUUUCUCUCUCAUCACGCAUUUACAAAUUACAGUUUCCGCAUACCCUAAACGCGCCGUUUCAAUUGAAUGCGCACACUGAAUUUCAAAUUAGGGUUAGGGUUUUGUUAUUGUUAAUCAAAUGGGAACCAAAGUUACCGACGAAGUGUUGUCCACUGUCCGAUCGGUCGUGGGCCCGGAAUUCUCCAAUAUGGACAUAAUCAGGGCCCUACACAUGGCCAAUCACGACCCCGCUGCCGCCAUCAACAUCAUCUUCGACACUCCCAAUUUCAAAACCCCUGAGAUUAAGCCAUUGGCUGCAAGACGGAAGCUGAUAAUCAGUAAGGAAAACGAGAUCCGUGCUUCUAGCGAAAAUGGUACAUUAGCUGAGGCCAUUGCUGAAGGUUACAGUGAAGGGAGCGAGUGGUGGUUCGUGGGGUGGGGUGACGUGCCGGCAAUGUCCACGAGUAAAGGGAGAAAAUUGAGGCGUGGGGAUGAAGUAACGUUCACAUUCCCGUUGAAGAGUUUUAAUAGUUUGAGUUCUAAGUUCCCAAGUAAGAGCUUUGUGAGGGCGAGGCAAGCAGUGGUGCCCUGUUCGGAGAUCGUGAGAUUUUCGACCAAGGAUGCUGGAGAAGUAAGUGAAUAGAAUGUGAACCAAGAUAAGAAUUUGCCUUGAAGUUGGACUGUGUAUGACAUUUUCAUGCUAUUUGAAAAAAAUGCUUGGCUAACUUUCUGUAUUUCGAUGUGAAAAUAAAGUAAUUUUUUAAAAUGUUUGGUUGCCAAAUGGGCUGUCUGCGGAGUUUGAUGUAAUUUGGAACAAAAUAUGUUUUGUUUGAUUAUUUAUUGGGUAAUGAUUUUUUGGGGUUGUGACAGAUUGGUCGAAUACCUCAUGAGUGGUCUCGGUGUUUAUUACCAUUGGUGAGGGACAAGAAGGUUGAAAUUCUUGGGUGUUGCAAGUCUGCUCCUGAAGUUCUGGGCAUUAUGGAUACCAUUGUUUUGUCAAUAAGGUAUUGAUUUUGAAGAGUUUAUGCAAACGAUAAUUUAUUUUCUGUUAUUAGCAUUUGUCAACAGACUAAAUCAAGUGGCUGUGCUUUCACUUGAGCGUUUGAUAUAUUUUUGCACUGUUUACUGAUAUAAGUGUUUUUUUCCCCUCUUUUGGAGUUGUGUAACAUAGUUGAUGAAUUCGAAUUUUUUUUCUCUCAGAGUGUAUAUCAAUAGUUCUAUGUUCCGUAAGCACCAUGCAACCUCACUUAAGGCAGGUAGCAAUUCAGCUGAGGAUUCAGUUAGUCUUUGUCAUCCUCUUCCAAAUUUGUUCCGGUUGCUUGGCAUAACUCCUUUCAAGAAGGUGAUGAUUUGCAAUUUUGAUUUCUGAGCCUUCUUAUUGGGAUUCUGUUCCUUUGAUUGGAUUAUGCAGUUGCCUACGGCUAAAUAUGAAUUAUUGAUUUGUAAUGCUGUUGUGUUCUUUCUGGUGAAAUAAAGAUUUUUACGUAGUCGCUUUCUUAUCUGAAAAAUUCUAGCAAACUCUUUUAUUCAGCAUUGCUUGUUUGUCUUUAGGCAGAAUUUACUCCUAGUGACCUGUACACAAGGAAACGACCUUUGGAUUCAAAGGUAUAUACGAAACCCUCUUCCCCUUCAAUUAUGUUUUUUUAAAAAUGGAGAUUGGAUCCUGAUUUCACAUCGACAGGAUGGUUCUGGCCUUCAUGCCUCGUUGUUACAUGCCAACAAGUCUAAGGUUCAGUCUGCAAAAGUAAAUGAUGUUGACGAUGUGGAGCCCAUUUCAGAUUCUGACGUUGACAAUAUUGUUGGCGUUGGAUACAGCUCAGAGAUAGAGGUAUUAUGAUGUCUGAAAAUGAUGUUAUAGUGUGGAAUUGGAAAUGCUUAUGGCAGGUUUAAUUACUUGUGAAAUUUCUAUGUUUUAGGAAAUGGUGCCGCCGAGUACUCUUAAGUGUGAACUUCGUCCCUACCAAAAGCAGGCCCUUCAUUGGAUGGUCCAGUUGGAGAAGGGGCGAUGCCUGGAUGAGGCGGCAACAACUCUUCACCCAUGUUGGGAGGCAUACCGCCUAUUAGAUGAGUAUGGUGAAUUAUCAUUUUAUUUAAUUUGAUAUUAUUUAUUUAUUAUGUGAUUAGAUUUUUAUUGGGUGUUCAUGAUUCUAGGAGGGAGCUUGUAGUUUAUUUAAAUGCAUUUUCUGGCGAGGCUACGAUAGAAUUCCCAAGCACUCUUCAAAUGGCCAGAGGAGGAGUAAGCCUUUAAAUGCUCCAAUUUUAACUGAAAAUCAAAUACCAACCUGUUAUUGACAUAUUCUUACUAUGUACUGACUUGACCAUGCAUUUGAAGAUUCUGGCAGAUGCAAUGGGGCUCGGAAAGACUGUCAUGACCAUAGCACUCCUACUCACUCAUUCACAAAGAGGUGGACUUUCAGGUAUUCAGUCAGCAAGUCAGCCUUCUGAUGGGGGCAUUGAAGGCUACGAUAUUUCAGACCAAUCGCCAAAUCUCAUGAAGAAAGAACCAAAAUCUUUGAGCAUUGAUAAAUUGAUAAAGCAAGCUAAUACACUUAUAAAUGGUGGCACUUUGAUCAUAUGUCCUAUGACUCUUCUGGGCCAGUGGAAGGUAUUUGCUUUGCCAUUUAGGUUACACACAUUCUCUUGCACUGCUUGAAAGUGGGUAAUUUAAUGAGCUUAAAAAAAUUUCUUCCUGUCCUUCAUAGAGAGUUUCUAUAUUUCUUAUAUUCAGUCUGGAAAUUUCUGUUUGUUAUCAGGCUGAGAUUGAAACUCAUGCACAAGCUGGGUCUCUCUCUGUUCAUGUUCAUUAUGGACAAACUAGACAAAGGGAUGUGAAUGUUUUAGCUCAGAGUGAUGUUGUAAUUACUACGUAUGGAAUACUAUCCUCAGAUUUCUCAUCAGAGGUAGUUUGAAAAACUCUUGAUUUACAUCGCUGGAACUUUCUGACAUCAUUUUGGUGUUUGAUCAAGGAAUUGCUUAUCAUUACUUGUUCACUUUAUAGAAUUCCGAAGACUAUGGUGGGCUUUACUCGGUUCAGUGGUUGAGAGUUGUUCUUGAUGAGGCGCACACCAUAAAAUCAUCUAAAAGCCAAGUUUCCAUUGCUGCUGCUGCUCUUGUUGCUGAUUACCGCUGGUGUCUCACAGGCACUCCUAUUCAGGUAUACAGACUCACUUUUGACUUGAAAUUUUUAUUCAACCUUUUUUUUUCACUUAAAAAUUAUUUUAUUCUCUUAUUUGGGCUUCUUUCCUCCUGUUAAAACCUAAAUCAGAUUGUUUACAAACGAAUAUCAAUUUGCUGCAGUGUCAAGUCUUUUCUGAAAAGAGGAAACCGUUCUCUAACAAUUUUUAGUUUUUUCUGCACAUGGGGAGUAAUUUGUUUACUAUUGCAUGAGAGUUCUUGUCCCUUUCCUCAUCACUCUUCUAAAGCAGGAGUUUUCAGACCAUCACCCUGUCAAGCUACUGAUUGAAUUCUCUGCCAGGCCCCCCUGUUUAAGGGAGGUGGCUUGGGCCAUCUGACCAGUAUUUUUUAAUCUGACAGGAGAUGCUAUUCCUGAAGGAAAUUUUCAUCUUAUUUUGCUUAAACACAAAGCCGGUUUACUUGAUUAGUCCAUGGGCCUCUUCCAUAUUUUAGAUUAUAUCACUGAGUUUAAUUGUUUGAUGAUUUCCUGAUCUCUAAAUGUUUUCUAAGUACAGUUUUUUAUGUUUGAAGCAUACUGUUAUUUUCACUUAAAGUUCAUUUACCUUAUUUUGUUGUGCCCCAUAAUGCAUUUGAGAUUGGUUGCAUAAUCAGACUCUUUUAUUCUAGAUCGGGUUUUUUUUUUUUUUUAAAGAAUUGAGUUUGGUCUUAUAAAAUAUUGAACAACCUUGAGGGACAGUUGUUUUCUGCUUCAAGGGCUGGCCUCAUGAAACUUGGUUUCUUAUAGAUGGACAUUCCCGUGCAUCUAGUGAUAGCAUUAUGAUGUUUCUAUGUUUGCUUUUCCUUCAUUUUUAUUCUUUUAUUCUUUUAUAUGUGGUGCUGAUAAUUGACAUGCCUGUGUGCUUGUGGUUUCUGUAUACAAGUUCACCUUUUAACUUGAGUCUUUGGAGUUUGGACUAUAUAGUUUGUCAGAAAGUCCGUGCCUUGUUUUUGAUAAUAAGUUGAUUCUUUUCUCUUCUGCAAGUCAUCUUUAUGUUGACUGAGUGCUUUCAUAUUGAGGAAACCUAUGUAAAUUUUCAUGUGGUAUUAGAUCUUUGACUUCAUGGUCUUGUAUAUUUACUGAUAUGUAAUAUAUCUUUUGACAGAACAACUUGGAGGACAUUUACAGUCUUCUUCGGUUCUUAAGGGUGGAACCCUGGGGAAACUGGGCAUGGUCAGUUUUGCUUCUCUUUUUGUGGAACACGUACAAUACAAGCAUUAGAUUUAGAAUAUUGGCUUGCAUAAACUUCAUAGUUGCUUUUGCUCAUUUUUUAAAAAAUAUUUACGCUUAUGUAUGGACUGUAAUCAAUUAUUGCUCUUGGUGCUGUCUUUCAAAUCAUUUGAGGUUGUGGAGCUAAUUCUUUUCUGUAGGCUGAGAGCUAAAACUAUCCUACCGAGAGGAAAGGAAACUGGUAUCAAAAGACUAAGUUUUGAGGGGGUUUUAGAUGAAGUAUUUCUAGGUCACUUUCUUGUUGAUGCUGGAUUUUUGGGGAAUCUCAAAUCACCUGAGCACAGUUGAUAACUAGCAUUUCUGGACUAUACUUAAGAAAUCUUGCCCUUCUUCUGUCCCACUCAUAGUGGUGGUGUGUGUACGUGUCUUCGUACAUACGUAUUUCCUAAAAGCAGAUCAAGUGAUUGGUGUUGUGAACCAUAUUGCAUGCAACAUCUACUCAUCCUCCACUGAACUACUGAUCACACAAGUGGAAACCUUUUUUUUUUUUUAAUCAUUAUUUGUUUAUAUUUUAAAAUUUUGAACAGGUCUUCUGAGUAUUGGAUAAUUUUUUAUUCCACUUAUAGGUCCUGUAGUUUUGCAGAUUUUACUUUUACAUUCCUAUUUCUGUUUGAAUUGACGUACCAUGAUUAAGAUAUGUCCGCUUUAUGGUUCAUUAUGAAUAGGUGGAAUAAACUUAUUCAAAAACCAUAUGAGGAAGGUGAUGAGAGAGGUUUAAAGUUAGUUCAGUCUAUUUUGAAGCCAAUCAUGUUAAGGAGAACAAAAUCUAGCACUGAUAGAGAAGGCAGGUGAGAGUGCAAGCUAAGUACACCAUUAGCAAUCCUAUCUCAGCUUUUUGCAUAUUGUGAGCCUAACAUUUUAUUUGUCACAGGCCAAUUCUAGUCCUCCCUCCGGCUGACAUGCAGGUGAUUUACUGUGAGCUCACAGAAGCUGAGAAAGACUUCUAUGAGGCCCUCUUUAAAAGAUCCAAGGUAUUUUCUGUUUCAGGAUUGAAGUUUAUCUGUUUCUUUAAAUUUCAAUUUAUCUUCUCAAAUUAUUUUAUGCGUAACAUUUUGAUGGGAUCUUUUCAGGUGAAAUUUGACCAAUUUGUUGAACAAGGACGGGUUCUUCAUAAUUAUGCCUCUAUAUUGGAGUUACUUUUGCGUCUUCGCCAAUGCUGUGAUCAUCCAUUCCUUGUAAUGAGGUAUGGACCUUGGCUUUUCUCCUUUGUUUGUAUGACAUUUUUUUUUCAAGUAAAUUAAAUCAGCCCCUUGUUUCUUUAUGAUGGCGAACAAUGUGAUGUUUGUAUGCAAAAGUGGAUAGUUGCUUGAGCUACUUAUUUGAGAGUUGUUUUAUCGAUUAGGUAUUGAAAAUGAUUUUUUUUUUUACUUUUUCUUUUCCCGAUCGUCAAAUUUCAGAGACUAGGGCACUAUAAUGUAGUUCUUUACAUAUGUAUCUUUAUUAAAAGAGACCAACUAUAAACUGAUUAAUGAUGAAUGGCUUUAAUGCAUCCAGUCGAGGUGAUACUCAAGAUUACUCAGAUCUAAAUAAGCUAGCCAAACGUUUCCUGAAAGGCAGCUCUAAUGCCUUGGAAGGGGAAGACAAAGAUGUGCCCUCACGGGCUUAUGUACAAGAGGUUGUGGAGGAAUUACAAAAAGGAGAACAGGGAGAGUGUCCGAUAUGCCUUGAAGCAUUUGAGGAUGCAGUGUUGACACCGUGUGCUCACCGAUUAUGCCGAGAAUGCCUGUUGGGAAGUUGGAAAACUCCUACUUCUGGUUUAUGCCCCGUCUGCAGGUAUUUGUCAAGUAUUUUAGUGUUCUAAUUUUCUCCUAUUUUUCUCAUUUUCAUAUUAAAACUUGCAUUUAGUUAUUUGUGGGAUUUUUUUACAAUGAAACUUAAUGGUCAUACAAAACUCAGGUAUUAUGUUUUCACCUUGUUUCAGGAAGACCAUCAGUAGGCAAGAUCUUAUUACGGCCCCAACUGGUAGUCGGUUCCAAGUUGAUAUUGAGAAGAACUGGGUGGAAUCUACUAAAAUUGCUGUUCUCUUGAAAGAACUGGAAAAUUUAUGCUUAUCAGGUUCCAAGAGCAUUUUAUUUAGCCAGUGGACUGCCUUUUUGGACCUCUUACAAAUCCCUCUUUCUCGGUAAAUAUAUUUAGUGACUUAAUUUUGGAGGAGAAUAUUUGUGAGCAUACUAUGAUAAUUCUUCUGUGCAAAAGACUUAAAAAUUUGUAUAUGCUUUUUGCAAAACCUUAAAAUCUGUGGGUACCUUAUAGAAAUAUUGUCCCAACUUGUGGUACAUCUGGGUUCCUGCUUUUCCAGUUUCAUCAUUUAGAGGCUAAUCUAGCUAUGUAGGAUCUAAAGAAUCAGCAGAAUUUAAUAUUUAACACACUUAAUUUGUUAGUCAUACUAAAGAUGCUUGUGCAUCGCAUUUUCUUCUUCAUUUCCCCUUAAUGGGAAGCUUUGGUCUUUUUACAAUGGAAUGCUUUUACUUUCUUUUGUAUACUUGUGGACUGAGGCGGAGCUAGAACUCAGCAACUCCAGGGUGCCAUGCUGUAUAAAGCAACUCUUAAAGGGCCAAAACAAUAAAAACAACAUUUUGAUGGCUAAAUUUGAAGCCCCUCUGACCACCCUGUUGCUCUGCUUCUGCUUACCACUGUCAUUGUAACAUGAUUCUUUGAUUUUAGUGAAUGUGUGCACUUCAGCGUGGGAUAGUACUUUUAGCACGCCUUCUAUCUUUUGUAGUUGUACGUAUUUGUUUUCAUUUUGCCCUAGACGAAUAUAAAAAUUUUAAUGUUUUUAUUUUGUUAUUAAUAUUCGUUUAUUAUCAAUGUAAUUAUCAUUUUCUGUUCAGGAAUAACAUUCCAUUUCUUCGCCUGGAUGGAACUCUAAAUCAGCAACAACGAGAAAAAGUACUAAAACAAUUUUCAGAAGAUAACAACAUCAUGGUUAGCGACUCUUCUUUUUUGAAGGAUUUUUUCAGUUUGGUUGAUGGAUUGAAUUAAUCAUUUGAUCUUGGAGCUUGGAACUUUAGGUAUUGCUUAUGUCAUUAAAGGCUGGUGGUGUGGGAAUUAACCUAACAGCAGCUUCCAAUGCUUUUGUCUUGGUGAGUGCUACAUUACAAUUACCACUUUCUAAUCUGGACUAUUUUUGCCUGACAAUAUCAACAAAAAAGAUUUGUCUAAGCCACUUCCUUUCUUUUUGUCCAAGUUUCUUUUCUUUUAGUCUAACUCACUUCACAGUGGGUAGAAUUUUGGCUUGAUGACAGAUCUCCAGUUUUUGAUUAGGCAUUCAGUUCUCAAGCAAUAUAUACUUAGAUUUUCUGUUGUGUUCUAUGAUAAUGUAUCUGUAAUUUUUUUGAAAUGUAAUGUUUCUGUAUUUGAAAUCAUUGAAGGAGUGAGUUUUGCUUUGACAAGUUUGAGUUUUUUUUGUUGGGGGUGGGGGGGAUUUAGAAAUAACACUCAUUUCAUUUCAAGAAAUUUAGUUGAGAACUUGUUUGGAACAUUAUCUUCUCAUGUACUAAAAGUAUAUAUUGCUUGAGGAAUGAGUGCCUGUAUGUUCUUAAUGGUAUGUUUAUGGAGGGGCCAAGGAACACACCUGUGUCUUUUUUUUUACUUUUUGCCAUUCUAUUUCCAUGCUCAACAUGUUUCGAUUUAACAACCUGGGUAUAUAAUUUUGAUGUACCAAUAUUUUGCAUCUGUUGUAGGAUCCAUGGUGGAAUCCGGCUGUGGAGGAGCAAGCUGUUAUGCGUAUUCAUCGUAUUGGACAAACUAAGAGGGUGACAAUUAGACGGUUCAUUGUCAAGGUACAUUUUGUUUUUGACUAUGUAAAAAAGUUGAGUGAUACUAUUGCUACUAAGAUCUAAAAUUUUUUGAGUAGAAAUGUAGCUGCUUCCCUUUACCCGAAAAAAAAAAAAGGAUAAUCAUUUUCUUAUGGGUACGGCAGACUAAGAUUAAAUUCUUGGCUGCAUAAUAACCAUUAGUGCAUUUGUCCGAUCCUUAGAAAAGUUUGAUGAUGCAUUUUUUCUGCUUGUUUAAAUGUUCUGGACAAUAGGGAACGGUUGAAGAAAGAAUGGAAGCAGUGCAAGCACGCAAGCACAGAUUGAUAGCUGGUGCAUUGACUGAUCAAGAAGUUAGAUCUGCACGAAUUGAGGAACUAAAGAUGCUUUUUACUUGAGAAAAGGGAGAUUAAUUUUUUUCCCGGUUGUUUGUCAUGGGUAAUCAUUUUAUUGGCUUCCUAACUUAUUUUGAUGAAAGAUAUCUCCGGGUCAGGGGAUUUUGAACGUGGCAUUGGAGCUUGAGAAAAAAGAACAAACUCACAACCACAAAUUUUAGUUCUCAUGGAGGACAUAUUUGAAGCUGCGAGUGAUUAUAUUGUUAUGUAAGAGAGGGUGUUGAAAGGGAGGGGAUUUUUGGGUGAUUGGAAGGAGAAGUGUGGUAAAUUUUGUAAAUAACUAUUGUAUAUGUUGAAGGGGGGUUAAGAGGAAGAGUAAUUUUAUUGUUGUUCCUUCUUGUACUGAUAAUUUAUGUCAAAUCAUUUGGUCUGUUCCCUAGACCAAAAACCUAGUGUGCAUUUAUCAAUUCAAGCAUAAAAUUCAUUUAUGCAUGUUAUACACUGUAAACCCAACAAUUUUGAAUAUUCUCAGACCCAGAAAAGGGGAAAAAGAAAAAGGCUAAAAGGAUUAUUGUUUUUGUACAAUUGAUUCUUAAAACCAAAAAAAAAAAAAAGAGAAAUUGAUGCUAGGUCACUUGAUGGUAAUUUGGAGAAAUAUAAUAAUUUUAAAAAAUAGCUGUAUUUAAUAUGCAAUUGAAUAUUUGUGUAAGAUUUAUCAGGAAACACGGGCAGCUGAAGGAAUUGGUCAGCCUGAACCAAAAUAAAUAAAUAAUAUGGUUUAUUUAAUUUUAUUUUCUUUAUAGUAAUAAAAAUGUGGUUUAUUAUAAUAUUAAAGAAAAAUAUUGUGAUUUAUUUAUUUAUUCUUCUAAAUUUAGUUAAGUCACUCCGAUUAAGCUCCAAAAGCCGCCAGUAUUUAUAAGAAAAGAGAAAGAGCUCUCUCUCCUUUAAUUCUUUCUGGUUUCAUCAAGAUUUUGAUUUUCCAAUGACUUCAUUAGAUACGUCAGUGAAAGAAUCGUCUGCUCCGCGGCGACGCUUGUCCUGCUCUACUUGUUUUGACGCCCUCUGGUUCUGCUAUUGUCUGUUUUAGCUUUCCCUUUUUCUCUUUCUUGUUAAUUUCAUAUAAUUACUAAAAAUGGGUUUUAAUUAAUUAGUUAAUUAGUGUUGUUUAACUAUGGGUGUGCAGCUCCGGUGCAUCAGAUGCAGCAGUAUUAUCGGCUUGGAGUUCUUGAUAACUGUACUGCUAAAUGGAGCGCUCUUGUUGACUGCUUAACGCUCAAGACCAAACCCUCCUCCCAAGUUGAGGUCUGUCUUCUAAUUUUAUUUGUAUAUAACACUACUUGUUCAAUCUUUUGAUUUAAUGCUUUCAUUGGAACUGUUAGAUUGUUUGCUUGGUUGUAAUUUUGUUGUUGAAUUGAGAAUUUUUUUAGCCUUAUGUCAAGGUAAUUGGGGACAAUAGAACAAACUAGCAUAAGCGCAUUAUAACCGUUUUACGGCAUGAUAAAUAAUGCUAUCAUGGGUGGCUGCUAAUUCGGGUGACUAUCCAAGUGAGAGACACUUUUAUGCUUGUCCGUGUUAUGAGUUAGGCAUUGAUGUCAAAAUUGACAUGUUUCUGGCAUUCGCUUCAACAAUGGUGUUUUCUUGCUAUUUGUAGUCAUAGGUCUGUGGUGAUAUGAGCUUAUUUGUCCAUCUGGAGUCUGAAUGCAUUGUUUAGUGUAUGAAGUUUUGAUAGUGGCCGGAAGUUUCAUUCAAGGUGUGCUCUUACAACUCUUAUAGCUUGAUUGAUCCUACAUGUUGCAUUUAGAGUCUAUAGGUCUCCCCUUCCCAACCAUUAUAUGGGUUACUUCAAUUCAUUUUCUUUCUGCAAGCAUUAAGGAGGUGUCGCCCCCCCCCCCCCCCNNNNNNNNNNNCUUACUGCUGUACGGCCAAGGCGGAUAUGCGGUACAGCAGUUUCUGUCUUCUCCUUCUUUCUGACUCACUCGCCAGUGAUUUGAUCGUUAUAUCUGAUUCAUUCAUUUGGUAUGGGAGUUCUUCAAGGAGCAGCUUCUUAAAAAAAUCCCGAUCCAAUCAUAAUGCACAUCAAUAUGCUUGUGUUUCUAAUGAAAUGUUUGGAUUCUUCUAGAGAUUGGUGAUAUUUUGACUGUCAAAAUGAAGAGAAAAUCUCAUUUGCUUGAGGCUCGCUUAUUCUUGGAACUUUUCCUUUUUAAGACUUGAUUGGUAGUUUCAACUUUCAAUCACUUGUCUUCCAUUGGUGUUGAUCCUAACCAUUAGUGUUGAUCGUAACCAUUGUUAUUGAUACUAUCUUUGAAGAUUUAAAAUGCACAAUCUUUUUGUUUAUUGCUGGUGAAAAUUUCUGUUGGACUACAAUUGAUGUUGUUCUUUUUAUACUGACAGGUUUUCGCAGCCAAAAAAAAAAAUUAGUACUGUUUAUAUAUAAAAACAUUAUUUUGUUGUUGGGCAGUUUCUGCUUGAUAUUGAUUCUUGACUACGCUUCAUUAUUGUGUUGUUUGGUUCAUUGAUAAGCAAGAUCUAUUUAAUGCAUGAAAAGUGGGAGAAGGUUGUUAUUAUUAUGCGUGUUUGUGGUCUCUUUUUCCAGCACGUCCUCAUUUUAGAAUGGUAAAAUGGGAACACGCAAAUCCUGAUUGAACAUACACAAUGACAUUGUAACUGCCAUUACAUAAAUCUCUCUUCAGAAGAGCUCAUUUCUUUCAAUUCUUUUACUACUAACAGCAUUAUCUUUGUUCCCUCAAAUUAUGACUUUAAAUUACAUUUUUGGCUAGUUCCUUUCCUACUGUCCUCUGAAAGUAAUGAAUUGCAGGAAAUUCUGGAAACUCGCGAGAAGGCAAAACCCCACAUUUGGACUUUUCGGACACCGGAGGAAGCCAAUUCUCACUGGAAAAAUCUAUUUGGACAUUUGGAUGAAAUGGAAUGAUGAAUUUACAACUUCUACAACUUCAUUAAUCUGACUCUGUUCUUCAGAUUUUAUUCUAUUGGAUCCGGAAAAUCGGAAUCUUACAAUUGAUUGAUGCCUACAGGGAGUGCACUAGUUCUAGUUGUUGAAAGAGUGAUUCGUGAUCCAUUGCAUAACCAAGUCAAAUGUAAUAAUAAUUUUUUUAUAAAAAAAUUGUUCUGUUUAUCAUGAUUAUUUUUGAAGUCUGAUCUGUGUAUAUGCUAAAAGCUCACUAGCUUUGCCACAAAGAUGGUCACACAUCUUAACUAUGCUCCAAAUUCCAUAUCAAAUUCUAAACACAGGCAUAUAUUUUUAGAUUUUAUGCCAAUUAGUUUGUCAUAUCCAGUUACUAGUAUAUAAUGCAUGUAUUAGAAAAGAUUGAACUAUAUUGAAUAGGAUUUUGCUAUGUUACAUUGAAUGUACCAUACAAAAUCAACAAGAACCACACAAUUAUGUGGGUCCCACAAUUUGUGUGGUUCUUGUUGGUUGUGUAUGGUACAUUCAAUGUAACAUAGGGGCUCCCGAUUGAAUAUGGAUUAAUGAAAUCCCCGUCUCUUUGAAGAUCCUAAACGGGAAUUAAGUGGGAACGGGAUAGGGAUUCAUCCAAUUGUUAACUGGUAUACUCAUUUCUGACACACCUUUUAUUUUUCGUUCAUAUAUUUUUAUUAAAAUAAAUUUUAAAUUUCUUGAAUUAAAACUCUAGAUGAUUAAAACGAUGAUUUAAAGAAGUUGUUGGCUAGCAUAUUUGUUUGCGGAUUAAAACAAAUGCUUUCGUUGCCGGUACUUCAAUUAUCUAAAUAUUAUUGCUACAACUUACAAGGGCCUUACCAGUUUGAUUUUAAAGUUCAUUAUUCUGCUUUCAGGAUGGCUUUUGAUCUCUUUGUUGAAAACGAUACAACAUUUUGUAAAGUGAAUAUGACUGUUUUUUUUUUUUUUUUUUUUUUAAAUAUAAGAAAUAUAAAGCGGGGAAGCGGGGAUGGAGCGGGUGGAAAGCCCGUUUUUCCCGCCCCGGCUCGAAGAAUUGUCGCAAAGGGCAGACCUAUGUAGUGGCUAACGAGACUCUAGUCUGUAGGUCGAAAAGAAUAUUUCAAGAGAGACAAAGGUCUUUAUUAAAUUUAACCUUUUUUUCAAAAAAUUAUAUUUUUGCCACAUUAUUAUAUAAUUUUGCAAUCUAGCCUCUUUAGGUUUGUAAUUUUUCAUUCUGGUCCAUAUUGAAUCAAAUCAUAUUAUCAUAAUUUUAAAAUUGGGUAUGAUAAGUGAUACCCAAUGAGCAGAUCCCCCGUGGUUCCUUUUUCCUGGGACUAUUUUUCAUUGUUAGAUAUUGCCAUUUUAAAGCUUAUCUUUAUUUCUUUUUUUUUAUGUAAUGGUGAGAUGCUUAUUGUUAAACGAUUUUUUCAUAAUUAGCCAGUGAUAAAAUGAUAUUAAUUAUGAAAAAUUAAGUCUAAUUUUUUUAAUUAUUUUGGGUUCCUAAAGUGUACAAUUUAUUCAUUUUUACCCGUAUUGAAUCAAAUUUUGAUUACGUACUGCAGCAUUUCUUAUCAUAAAAAAAUAAGUAUCAUCCCCGUCAUGCACGGGUCAAAUUAGGAUUAGGAUUCUCUCAUGAUAUAAUCUCUUUUAGAGCAAAAAUAUAUGUGGGUGAUUAGUAUUUAAUAAAUAAAUUAAAUGAAUAAAUUAAAUCCUACCCAUGUGUUAUUACUUAAAGACACAUGACACAAUAUUUUUAAAAGUUCAUGAGAGUUCAGAUCAAAAGAGAAUCUUUAUCCGUCAAACUAUUGUGGGUUCCUAUCCUUGCGAGAAUCUUUUUCAUUCUUAGGAACUACCAUUGUAAACUUUUUUUUAAUGUUGUAAUAUACUCUUUAGUUGAUUACAGUUAAUAAAGUUCUUGUAAUUAACUGGUGACAGACGAUAUUACUCAUGAAAAUUCAUAUUGCAUACAUGUUGCAUUAAUUAUUUACAACAAAGAUUAUUUUUAUUUUUACUAAAAUUGUCACAUUUUUACUUUUACUAAAAUUGUCACCGAGUUUUGUUAAAUCUUGUACAAAAUCAAAGUCAAUAAUAACCAUCAAGAGCAUGGGCGUUAAUUAUAUAAAUUCAAUAUUAAGGUCUACAAAUAACAAUUUUAAAACUCUUAAAAUUUUCCACAAAAAUAGUCUUAUGGUUACUUGGGUAGUAAAGAAAAUUAAUUUAUUACCAAAUAAAAUCAAGAUUAUUUUAUAGUCUGACACAAUAAAAUAUUUAUACUCAGUUAUAAUUAUUAAGUCAGUAGUAAUAGAUGGCAAUAUGUAUGAAAAGAACGAUAAAAGAGAAUCUCUCCAGUCUCCAUUGCAUGAGCAGCAACCAAAUGAUCUUUUCUCGUGGAAGAGGAAAUUUUAUAUUCAGGUCUACAAACAACUCCUGUUUUGCAUUCUUUCUCUUCAACUCUCGUGGAAGAGAGAAUCAACACACUCAGAAGUUAAAAGGCAAUUUUACCCAAUAGUUGUUUGAUAAAUUACGAGCAAUGCCAGGAUCCUAACUUUAGAACCCAACUGAUUUAGUAUUUAUCUAUUUGAUGAUAGAAUAAUAAUUUUACAAGCUAAAAGAUCAUCAUUUAAAUGGACAAGUGAUAUAUAGUUGUUGGUUGAUCUUAUGAUUAAUUUAUCAGCUUAUUUUUGCAAUCCUCAAGCCAAAUGUAAUCUCUGAUUUCUUUAAAAGAAAGCAUUCACCAGAAACUGCACCCUUAGAGUAAAGCCAAUACGGAAGUAGAGCCUGUCAUUUUUGCAAUAGAGAAAACUCGAAUCCCUGGUGCUGAUCAAAUAAAAGACAUCUUCUGAUGGACUGAUGCCGCUGAAAAUGAAGAUAUUAGUCCUGCUGCGUCUCCAUAAUCUGUUUAUGAUAUGACUUGUAGGUUUGGCAAAUCCAUAUAAAACCAAAGCUUAUUGUCCGAAUUGACUCGGGCAUCCUUGUUACUAAGCUCUCUCUCCAAAACUCUCUCACUCUCAUAUUGUGAGAUAAAGUACUGUCUACUUUUUUUUUUUCUUUUUCUUUUUUUAAGGAGAGGUACAUGCAAACUGACUUAGGAAUUAGAUGGUCAAAUAAACUCAUUAAAGCUUGCUCGAAUUAUGAUCAAUUACAUCUAUUAAAUUAGACCAUUUUUCACAUUCAGUUCAGUAUACAUAUCAACUUUCUAUUCACCAUGAUAAACCACUCCUUAUAGAUUUUUUUUUAAGUUACAAUUAAUAUAGCAUAAUAAAAUUCGUAUUUCAUUAUAAUGGAUGUGAACGAUUUUUAAUUGUGAAGAACUUUUGAUUUGUAUAUGUAUUAGCAUAUUAGUAUCUCAUGAUCAAUACAUAAAUCACAUACUUUAAAAUUAAGUCAUAAGAAUGUAAUAAAACAUUUUUACUAAAUUCAAAAAAUGUUAUAACAUAAGUUUUUCUUAAUUUUUUUAAAACUAUCCUAGAUCGAAAAAAAAGAAGGGAGUAUUUACUUGGACUCUGACUUGUUAUAUAUAGAAAAUAAGGAUUAAAUGGGGUCGAAUCCCUCACUCUUCUCACACUAAGGAAAGGUCCUCUCAAUACUCUAACGCGCGCCCAUACCGGAUAUAGACCGCACGAACAGAGCCUUUGUGGGCCCCUUUUCUAGCGAGAAUCUUUUUCAUUUCUAUAUUUUACCAUUUUAAGUUUUAUCUUUAUUAUUUUUAUGCAACACUGAGUUGCUCACAGUUAAAUGACCUUCUGUAAUUAACCGGUGACAGAUAAGAUUAAUUAUGAAAUAUCAAAUUGUACAAUUGUCACAAUAAUGAUUUACAAUAAAGAUUAUUAUUAUUUUUCAUAUUUCCCACUUAAUUUGUAUUAUUAUUGUUUUUCAUAUUUCCCAUUUAAUUAUUAUUAUUUUUUAAUAUUUCCAAUGUAACUUUGUUAAAUCUUUUAUAAAAAAAAAAUCUAUGUGAAGAGCAUGAACAUUCAUUAUAAGAAUUUCAUAUUUAGUUCAACAAUUAUAUAUUUUGACACUCUCAAAAUUUUCCAUUAAAAAGUUUAUCACUCUAUUAAUAAAAAUUUAAUACCAAAUAAAAUCAAGAUUACUUAAAUUCUAAAAAAAUAAGAACAAUGAUAUAUGUAUCGAAAAUAGUAUAAAAUCUAGCACAAAAGACCAAAAAAAGAAAAUCAUCUUUUAGUGAAUUUUUUUUAUCCUGAAAUUAAUUUUAAUUUUAUUUCUAGUAAUAUUGGUGUGCUAUCUUUUGUGCGGCUUUUUGUGCACAUAUCAUUAUUGUUUUGCAAAAAUAAAAAAUUAUAUAUAUUAUUCAAAUUAGUGAUAGAUAUGGCAAUAUGUAUGAAAAGAACAAAAAAAGAGAGUUGCAUGAGCACCAACCAAGUUGUCCUUUCUGUCACCUUUUGCAUAUAACAGUCCUCGGAGUUCAAUACUUCUUCUUUGCAACUUUAUCAAGAAACAAACAACUCCUCUCUUGCUCUAUUCUCUUCAUCGCGUCACAUGGAAGAGAAAAUCAACACAGCUUCUCAAAAGUCUCCGGUAAGCCGAGAGGUUUCUGAUGAGGUGACGGUUUCAGAGAAUGUCGGAGGAUCAUCUGCUACUGAUAGUGAACCUAUAAUGACGAAAAGAAAGAGAGGCAGACCCAAAAAACAAGAAACUAAUGAUCAUGGAGGCCAUAAUUCUUCAAUGAAACGUCCUAGAGGACGACCAAAAGGUUCCGGGAAACUCCAGUCUUUGGCUACCAUUGGUAAGCUUUAGCUUUGUAUAUAUGGUGUAGUUAGCAUAAUAUUCGCUUGUUUGCAUAUAUAUUUCUUAUUGGAGUAAAAUUUGAUGAUUGUAAUGUGUUAGUGUUGUAAUAUUUUGGUGUUGUUUUGCUAGUUUAUAUUAGAUGAAUGCCAUUUUUUAUUUAUUAUUAGAAAAACAAAAACUACCGCAGCUGACUACCUCUUAUUGUAAUUAGUCAUUGGUUUUUGUUGUCUCUACGAGUCAAAUUUGGUACCAUUAGAAUUUUUGUCAUUGGGUCUACAUCACCAUACAAAGAUCACAGAUGAAGGGGAGCUCGUUUCCCUUUUGUCAUAAAAUUGGUUGGGGAUUGUCUGCUUUCGUAACUUGUCACUGUUAAACACCAAUCCGCCAUCAACUUUUGAAAUAUCUGAGCGGUUGUGUAGUUCAAACCGUCGCUAUUUAAUCCAAUGAGUUUUGAAGGCGGCCGGUUUUGGUCUAUUUCCUCUAAAUAAGAUCUCAUUUGUAGGUGAAAUUUGUAUGGUUGCAUAUAUACCCCAACAAAGAUUCUAACGAUACCAAAUUCAAACACAAGUUAUCGACAGCCGGAAAAGAUGGUAAAUUGAGUGCUGAGGUGGUGGGGCUCAACCUCGAUAGAAUCUGCCAAAUGACAGAGGAGAUAAGUCCUAUAAUUUUUUCCGAUGUAGUGGGUCCCACUAUAAAAAUUGAAACCCACUUACGCAUAUACCGUAAAAGUUUUUCGUUGGAAUAAUACUUUUAUUAUUUAUUAAAUAAAAAUUUUAUUUUAAUAAAUUUUAUUCCAACUUCCCUGACAUGUAUUUAACACGUCAUUUAAUGAACAUUAUUGUAAGAUCAAACCAUUACUAAUGAUUAAUGAAUAUAUAGUUAAGUUACUAGAACCUAGCAUUUGACAAUUACAUAAUUUUAAGUGACACAUUAGUAAUAAUACAAAUUAUUAUUAUUUUCAAUUAUGUAAUAAAUAGUAGUUUUAUUGAAUUUGAUAAUGUUAUCUAGUAUGUAUGUAUCUGUGUGUGUGUGUGUGUCUGUGUGUGUGUAUAUAUUUUUGAGUAGAUGCCACGGCAUAUUGUCAAAAUUCGAAACAACAUAGAUCAUAAGAUUCAGUUACAUUAUAUUCACUACGUACUCACUAAUUAUACUGUAAUAAUUUGACUUGUAUAUAUUAUUCAUACAUGCAUGGGUUUCUACUUUUGAUCUAAUCUGCUAUAUUCUUCGACCUUGUUUGAUUAUUUAUUAAUUUCUUUUGCUUUGUGCUGGUACUUAAUGCUAAAAAUUAACUAAAAUGUAAUAUUUGUAUUUCUUUGUUUUCUGAUAUGCAAGAUUGCAAGUCUAAAACAUUGAUCAUUUUGUGCAGGUGGAAUCUUUGCGGCAACAGCUGGAGGAGACUUUUGCCCUUAUGCUUUGUUCAUAAACCCAGGGGAGGUAUUAAUUGCUUGUAAUAUUGAGAUAGAGUUUUCCUUGGUCUAUUUCAUCGAUUUGUACUCAUUUUGCAUGAUUUUGUUCUAAUUUCAGGAUUUGGUUCGUACGAUAAUGUCAUUUGCCACAAUUCCUCGGAGAGCUGUCUGCAUUCUUGCUGCUACUGGCACAGUUUCUAAAGCUCUCAUGCGCCUAUUUGGUUCUUCCACUGCUAAAUGGGUUGAUGAGGUACCAUUUUUUACCCAUCAAUUCUACUUCUGCUAUGCCAUUGAUUAGUUAAGUUAUUCAUAAUUAUGCAAGAAGACAUGAAAAAGCUUAGAAUUUGACAAAUUUAUUGAUUAUACUGCCUUUUUUGGUAUUAAGAGUUAUAGCUGUUAUGAAAAAAAAAGUUGUAAUUAUGAAAUAAAAAUAAAUAAUAUGUAGUAAAUAUAAUUUUUAAAUAAUAAUUUUGAUAAAAUUAAUAAAAUAAUAAUAAUAAAUUCUCAUCACACAAGUAUAAAUUAAAUCAACUUAUCUUUCAAAUUAUAGUAGAUAAUGUUUACCACACACUUUAAUGUUGUACCUUUUAAAAUAUAGUUGCCCAACCUCAAUCCCAGACAAGACAUAUAUCUCUAUGUAAAUUUUAUACUUUGACCCUUCAUUUUUGUUGUUUCAUCAUUAUCGUCCCCAUUGUCACACUAAAAUCCUGAUUCUGCCACUGUUUACUAGCGACCCUACAAGUUUGUUUAGAGGCAUUAACUGAAAUUCUAACUUAAAAGAGGAUAUCUUUCUCCACCACCAGGCGACACAUAAUAAUUAUAAGUCCAUACCCAUUUUCUAAAUAAAUGUAGCUUAAGAUGUAUCAAGCCCAAUAAAUUUAUUAAUUUGAUCAUAUUCUAAAAAUGUUGUAAAUUGACCAGUCAAUCAAAAUUGAUUCCAUUGUUAAGCAUGCAUUUAGUUCCUUGGCUUGUCUUUCUUUGAAACAGGGAGGCUAUCAAAUUGUAACUCUAUCUGGAUUAUAUAGAUAUGAUAAAGUGGACAAAAAACUAAAAGUGAUAGGCCAGUCAAGCAUUAUGUUGGCUUCAGCUGAUGGGAAAGUUUUUGGUGGUUCUGUUGCGGGUUCUAUAAUUGCAGAGUCCCGUAUCCAGGUAUGGCCUUUCUUCUCUUUUUGUUCCUGUAACUCUUAGAACUAUUAAAAUACUAAACCCUUUAUGCUUGUGUUCUUUUACAAAUAAUAUUCCUUGACUUUAGGCUUCGCUGUAGCUUAAAGUUAUGGUCACUUUUAUUUCACGACAGUAGUGGCUUUUAAACUAUAGCACCUUAAUAUCAAAUAUCAAAUGGAGCCUUAAUAUAGGUAAAAAAUGCCAAUAUAGACUUCAAGAGAAGUAUAUAAGAUGAUAGGUGUUAUGUUUGUGAAUGGAAGAUAUCCUGUUUGAGUGUUUUGCAUGAAAUAAAGCUCCUGUUCGUGAUUGGAAGCGUUUUGUUUAAAUUUUUUAAUGGUUUCUAAUAAUUUGUCAGCUUAUUAUUGCUACUUUCAAGCUAAAUGUAAUCUCGGAUUUCCUUAAAAGAAAGCGCUCAUCAUCAGCAGCUGCGAGAGUUCCAGUGAAAAAUAAGUCUAAAGUUGCAGCUGUUCACAAUGAGAACUUCGCUGCUCCAGGAACUGUACCCUUCGAACAACAAUCCCCUAUAGCAGCAGUGCCUCUCAGUUUCGUUGCUGUAAAUGAAAACCCUAGCACUCCUGCUUCUCCCCAAAGUUUUGACGAGAGUUAUGCCUUGCAGGUUUGGCAACCCAGUUAUGAUCAAAACACAUCUUCUGGUACUGCUGCUGAUCAAAGUGAAAAUUAGAGUCCUGCUUCUCCAUGAAGUGUUUAAUUGUGGAUCUUUGAGACUUUGACAGUGGAUUUUACCCUUUGCUGUUGCUGCUAAUAAAAAUGAUGUUCAUCUUGUUUUUGAGACAUUUGCUUGAUGUAAAAGCAUAUUAUGUUUUUUGUUAUUUCAUUUUAAAAAAUUCAGACUGCAAUAAGCUGAUGCAUUGUUUUAAUUGAGACGAUAUCGAAUUGCUGCUGCCCUUUGUUACUUGAUGGGUUUGCUGUUGCUGUAUAUUGAGGAAUCUCACUAUCUCAGAACUGUUAUUUAGGUACACAUGUAUAUAUGUAGAAUGAUUGGCUCAUAAUGUAUUAAUGUGAGCCAAUGGCCAGCUCGGCCUGAUCAAUGAUCAUACAUUAGCAAACAACUGAUAAUUUUUGGCAUCGAGGCCCAUUUGUCUCGCUGCUGCAAUAGCUGCUAUGACUCCGAUUGCUGAGAAAACAACUGCAAUGCUGAGAUUCAACCAAAAUAUGGGGCUCGAUUUCGAUGGUUUGAAUGUCAAGUUGAAGAAAACCACAGGCAAGAUGAAGUCCAGUGGAAUGAAACCAAAAGCUCCAAGGACUGAAUUUAUGCCUCCAAAGAAUGGAAGCAUUGCUGCUACAAAUGUGGCAAUGAUUACGGAUAGUGACCGAGAAAUGAUCCUGGGGAUCACAUUUCGGAGAGAAAAUUCUUUACUCAGUGGAUCCGCAAAGGUUUUUUCAAGAACUUCAUUUGUUGGCUGCAAGUAAACCUGUAAGAAACAAACAGGCAGAUUUUGAUCAUUUUCCCUUCAAAGAUGUUUACACAAAUGUUCAUUGACUAAUUCUUACCGCAGCAAUAGCUGAUUGUUGUAAAAUGACCAAGAAAUUGGUCAUGAAAAGGAACCAUUUUGGUACCAAAGGCUUUCCAUCAUCCAAAAAGUUGCCAAGAAUGAGGCCUUCAGAUUGGUUGCCAAAUGCCCAAUACCCGGAAAUUGCAACACUGAAGAAAGUUACACCAAGUACUGCGUAGCAAAAACAUAGUCCCUUGAACAUCUUCCCCUUUACUGGUGGUGCAAUUGUUGCCUGCAACAAGGAUAAUUUUACGCAUAAACUACGCUGCCCCAGCAAAUGUUGGAAAGCUUACUGGUUCAUACCUGAAUUUCAGGAAUGAUACCAUUUCCAAAUGUUGUGGCAAUGAUACCAAUGGCAUUGAACAUCCCGAAAACACGACUUUCGUUGUCGCCAAGAAUAGAAUAAUCUUUGUUUGGCCCCUUUGAAGAAUUUCCUGAGAAAAAAAAUAUAUCGGUUGUAAGUUCACAAUUUAAAUUUGAAUUAUCUACAUGAUGCAAAGUGUUUGUAAUUUAGCAUGGUUCUUACCAACAUAAAUGGAGCCGGCAGUGGCACAGGCACUGUAUGUGAGGCAAAGAGCCAAAGCUAUCAUGUUGAUGUGCCUCAGUGAGUGAAAUGAUGGGAUUUGAGCUAAGAUCAAAAUUAGACAUCCGAAUAUGAUCACAAAUUCAUACAACUUCAUGGUACCGUCUGGGUGUGAGAGUAAGUAAAUAGCCUGCCAAAAAACAAAGAUUUUAAUUAAAAUCUCGAUUUAAAUAAACCUGAAACAUUAUACCUAUAACUUGUUUGCCGAAAAAUGGUUUGUAGUAAGUUAUUUUGUUUUCUGUAACAUAACAAAAUUCUAUGUGAAAUUUGUAUAAUUUUACUGAACCUUCAUGCAUUGUCCUCCCAGAAGAACGCCUCCAACAACAGCACCAUAGCAAACCAUGAACUGGAUUGGACCCACAUAAUAUCGGCCCCAAUUUGGCCCUGCAAAUCCAUUUUUAUCAAAUUAAUCGGCAUUUUGGAUUCUUUAAGUACUACCACAAAGGUUCAUACAUACAUAAUCAGCGGCGGAAUCAAAAUUUUGAUUCAACAGGUCAAAAUGAAGAAAUUAAAGGACGCCAAAAUAAUAAUAAUAAUAAUAAUAAAAAGAGUAGGUAAACUAUGCCACUACGUUGACUGAAAUGUAAAUUUUUCAAAGAAUUGCGCUAAAUUUCAAUUAAAAGUUAGGACCUUGAUUUUAUUUCUUUUUUUUUUUUCUCAAAAUCUAAGGGUCUGGCCCCAGACCCCUCAGACAACAACAUUGAUCCACUUGGCCGCCACCAUGAUAAAUAAUUAAAUAUUAUCCAAAAUAUUGACUGGUCUACUCCUGCCUUUUAUUUUCAAAUCGGCAAUCAAUUAAUGUCCCAUUAUCCCUAAAAUUGGUACGAGUUUAGCAGUGGUUCAUACAAUUGCCAGCGCACACAAUAACGUAUGGUGUAUGCAAACUAUGCAUAGCUAAUCAUUUAAUUUCGUGACAAUCACUUGAAUUUGUUAGGACACUUGCCUACUUGCUACAUUUACUGUGAAAAUGACAAGGCUUACAAAAUUUGAAUUGUGCAAUAAAGAAUAGGACAUCUAGUUAAUUUGAUUUCACUCGCUAUUUAAUCAACUUAAUAAAUAUUGUCCCCACGGACAAUUUUAAGUGUUUUGCUGGUGCACAACUUUGAUAUUCAAUGCAUGUUAAGACAGUUUGAUCAUACAUAUCACACAUCUUAUGAAGCAUAAUUGCACAAAGUGAUGAUUAUGUAACAUUUUGGAGAUGAAGUUGAAACUACGAAUCAAUUAAACAGUACUAUUCAGUAGGUAGUGAUGUAGUUGAUCAACCAUAAUGUUAGUUAUGUUCUCCACUACAUCAUUACUCUUAAAUGAAUUGAAAUUGGCAAUUAUAGUAUAGAACUUACCCAUGAUGUCAUGAGCCAUGUCUCUAAAGCGAAGAUGGCGAUGACCCAACUGAGCAUGGUGUUCGAGAACAAGAGAGAUUGAAUUGUAAGAAUAGAAAGUUUCCAGAGCUGCAAUGGCGAGACACAAAAUUCCGGUUUCCCAACCGAGAAAAGUGAAAGCAUACGGGAGACUAAGGAGAGGUGGACACACUAUUGAAUUUGUCAAGUGAUACCCACAGUGUAGCCAUGAUCCUACAUUAAGUUUUAGCAAUAUAUUUAUAGUUAACAAGUAAAUAUAAGAUAUAUUGAGGGGGAAGUUAGUAAUCACUCAAAUAAGAAGGGGGAUGUGAGAGAUUUUUCUAUAUUCUAUUCCAAGUGAAAUGGUACCUCUCCUUACAUGUAAAUUAUGAAAUUUAUGAUCAUUCAAUAAAUGGGUAAUUUUUAAAAACCUCCCCUGAGGUUUGGGCUUGUUGCAAGUAGAUGGCGAGAAUUGAUUUAUUUGUAAUAAACACCCUACCGUCAGUUAAGUUUAACAUUGACCCUAUAAAAAAGUUAAAAUUAAAAAAUUAAAAAAUCCUCUUUAAAUUAUUGAUAUUUCCUUAAAAUUCCUACAAGAAAGAUAAAAUUAAAAAUUUAAAAAUGAAAUAGUCAUAAUCUUUACCUAUGAUAUUGUAAAUUUUUAGAAUUGACAAGGAUAAAAUUGUCAAAAAAUAGGGUUUGUGCUUUUUGCACCAAUAAUUUUAGUUUUUUUUUAGUUAUUUUCGUUUACAAACUAUUGUUAAGGGUAAUAUUGUCUUUGCAUGGUCAACUAACGGUCAAUGUUAAACUUAACUGACGGUAGGGGGUUUUUUACAAAUAAAUCAAUUCUCGCCAUCUACUUGCAACAAACCCAAACCUCAGGGGAGGUUUUUAAAAAUUACCCUUCAAUAAAUAGAUAAUACCUCAGUGCUUGAAAUAUAAUGAAUAUUGAGAUGUUAUUUAAAGCCAUACAUUAUCUACUUUAUUUUAUAUUGGUCAAUGGAAUCAAAAGAUUACGCAACUGUGAAUUCGUAUUUUAUUUUAUUUUAUGUUUCUUUUUUUUUUUUGUGAAAGCCAUUCGGUAUCCGGCAACAGUAUUGGGUCCCGACUAAUCUGAAUUCGGGGUAUAGUCACAGUUAAGGCUCUUUACCCCUCCCAAAUGGCGUGUUUAGUGGGGGAUUGAACCUGAGAGCUCUUCCCACAAACUCAGCAUGCGCUGUCAACUGAACCACAACCAUUUGAUAUAUUUUAUGUUUCUUUUGCCCUUUAUGUUAUCUUAUGUUUUGAAUUUCUACAGUUUAAUCAGCAAAAGAAUCAACUUAAUUAGUGUAUUCAACACAAGGAAAUGUCAACGUUUACGCAAGAAAAACAAUUAAUAAAAUUGCUUAAAUGGUUAGAUUAGUUGGGAGCCGGCUGCACACGCAGUAUAUAUAUAUAUAUAGAUUAGAGAGAGAGAGAGAGAGAGAGAGACAGAGUUGUGUUAGGUGUGAUGUUUGCAAAAAAAAAAAUUAUAUGCGGAAUAAAGUUAAAAGAUUAAAAAGUACCAACUCACGGGAUCCCCUAUCUUACAUGCAUGUAAGAUACAUGCCUCUCACAUGAAUAGUGUGUGGGUCCCACAUAUAUACUAUUCAUGUGAGAGGCAUGAAUCUUACAUGCAUGUAAGAUAGAGUUUGCCCCAACUCUAAUAUACUAAAAGAAAAAAAAAAAAAAGUGCAUUGAAAUUCAUAUUUUUCUUGUAUUUUAAAUCUGUUCGUUUUAAUUUUAUGGUAUAUAUAUAAAGUAAUUAUACAAAUUCUUUUGGUAUAAUAUAUAUUUGUUCAUUUGAAAUGCGGAUUUGAACUAGGCAGGUUUCUGGUUAAAAUAUCUAAUUUAAAUUUAUAUUAAAAUGCGCAGACGGCAUUCACGGUGGAGAACGACUAUAUGACAAAUUAAAGAGUUGAAAUAAAGAUUGAAAUAAUUGAUGAGGGCGGAUAUUUUUGGUUGUGUAUAAUNNNNNNNNNNNNNNNNNNNNNNNNNNNNNNNNNNNNNNNNNNNNNNNNNNNNNNNNNNNNNNNNNNNNNNNNNNNNNNNNNNNNNNNNNNNNNNNNNNNNNNNNNNNNNNNNNNNNNNNNNNNNNNNNNNNNNNNNNNNNNNNNNNNNNNNNNNNNNNNNNNNNNNNNNNNNNNNNNNNNNNNNNNNNNNNNNNNNNNNNNNNNNNNNNNNNNNNNNNNNNNNNNNNNNNNNNNNNNNNNNNNNNNNNNNNNNNNNNNNNNNNNNNNNNNNNNNNNNNNNNNNNNNNNNNNNNNNNNNNNNNNNNNNNNNNNNNNNNNNNNNNNNNNNNNNNNNNNNNNNNNNNNNNNNNNNNNNNNNNNNNNNNNNNNNNNNNNNNNNNNNNNNNNNNNNNNNNNNNNNNNNNNNNNNNNNNNNNNNNNNNNNNNNNNNNNNNNNNNNNNNNNNNNNNNNNNNNNNNNNNNNNNNNNNNNNNNNNNNNNNNNNNNNNNNNNNNNNNNNNNNNNNNNNNNNNNNNNNNNNNNNNNNNNNNNNNNNNNNNNNNNNNNNNNNNNNNNNNNNNNNNNNNNNNNNNNNNNNNNNNNNNNNNNNNNNNNNNNNNNNNNNNNNNNNNNNNNNNNNNNNNNNNNNNNNNNNNNNNNNNNNNNNNNNNNNNNNNNNNNNNNNNNNNNNNNNNNNNNNNNNNNNNNNNNNNNNNNNNNNNNNNNNNNNNNNNNNNNNNNNNNNNNNNNNNNNNNNNNNNNNNNNNNNNNNNNNNNNNNNNNNNNNNNNNNNNNNNNNNNNNNNNNNNNNNNNNNNNNNNNNNNNNNNNNNNNNNNNNNNNNNNNNNNNNNNNNNNNNNNNNNNNNNNNNNNNNNNNNNNNNNNNNNNNNNNNNNNNNNNNNNNNNNNNNNNNNNNNNNNNNNNNNNNNNNNNNNNNNNNNNNNNNNNNNNNNNNNNNNNNNNNNNNNNNNNNNNNNNNNNNNNNNNNNNNNNNNNNNNNNNNNNNNNNNNNNNNNNNNNNNNNNNNNNNNNNNNNNNNNNNNNNNNNNNNNNNNNNNNNNNNNNNNNNNNNNNNNNNNNNNNNNNNNNNNNNNNNNNNNNNNNNNNNNNNNNNNNNNNNNNNNNNNNNNNNNNNNNNNNNNNNNNNNNNNNNNNNNNNNNNNNNNNNNNNNNNNNNNNNNNNNNNNNNNNNNNNNNNNNNNNNNNNNNNNNNNNNNNNNNNNNNNNNNNNNNNNNNNNNNNNNNNNNNNNNNNNNNNNNNNNNNNNNNNNNNNNNNNNNNNNNNNNNNNNNNNNNNNNNNNNNNNNNNNNNNNNNNNNNNNNNNNNNNNNNNNNNNNNNNNNNNNNNNNNNNNNNNNNNNNNNNNNNNNNNNNNNNNNNNNNNNNNNNNNNNNNNNNNNNNNNNNNNNNNNNNNNNNNNNNNNNNNNNNNNNNNNNNNNNNNNNNNNNNNNNNNNNNNNNNNNNNNNNNNNNNNNNNNNNNNNNNNNNNNNNNNNNNNNNNNNNNNNNNNNNNNNNNNNNNNNNNNNNNNNNNNNNNNNNNNNNNNNNNNNNNNNNNNNNNNNNNNNNNNNNNNNNNNNNNNNNNNNNNNNNNNNNNNNNNNNNNNNNNNNNNNNNNNNNNNNNNNNNNNNNNNNNNNNNNNNNNNNNNNNNNNNNNNNNNNNNNNNNNNNNNNNNNNNNNNNNNNNNNNNNNNNNNNNNNNNNNNNNNNNNNNNNNNNNNNNNNNNNNNNNNNNNNNNNNNNNNNNNNNNNNNNNNNNNNNNNNNNNNNNNNNNNNNNNNNNNNNNNNNNNNNNNNNNNNNNNNNNNNNNNNNNNNNNNNNNNNNNNNNNNNNNNNNNNNNNNNNNNNNNNNNNNNNNNNNNNNNNNNNNNNNNNNNNNNNNNNNNNNNNNNNNNNNNNNNNNNNNNNNNNNNNNNNNNNNNNNNNNNNNNNNNNNNNNNNNNNNNNNNNNNNNNNNNNNNNNNNNNNNNNNNNNNNNNNNNNNNNNNNNNNNNNNNNNNNNNNNNNNNNNNNNNNNNNNNNNNNNNNNNNNNNNNNNNNNNNNNNNNNNNNNNNNNNNNNNNNNNNNNNNNNNNNNNNNNNNNNNNNNNNNNNNNNNNNNNNNNNNNNNNNNNNNNNNNNNNNNNNNNNNNNNNNNNNNNNNNNNNNNNNNNNNNNNNNNNNNNNNNNNNNNNNNNNNNNNNNNNNNNNNNNNNNNNNNNNNNNNNNNNNNNNNNNNNNNNNNNNNNNNNNNNNNNNNNNNNNNNNNNNNNNNNNNNNNNNNNNNNNNNNNNNNNNNNNNNNNNNNNNNNNNNNNNNNNNNNNNNNNNNNNNNNNNNNNNNNNNNNNNNNNNNNNNNNNNNNNNNNNNNNNNNNNNNNNNNNNNNNNNNNNNNNNNNNNNNNNNNNNNNNNNNNNNNNNNNNNNNNNNNNNNNNNNNNNNNNNNNNNCUGCUGUACCGUACAUCCGCCUUGGCCGUACAGCAGGCUCUCCUUCUGCUCGGUGUUGGGAGAACUAUCAAUGGCGGGAGUGGACGUGGAAGUAGAUGGGGACGAAAAUUGUGACGAAGGGGAGAAAUAGUCUUUUUCUGAGCUUGAGGCAUGAUUCUCAAGAGAAGUAGAACCAGACGAGGACUCGGGGCGGGAGGAAGACUCCAAGGGAGGAAUACUUAUUUCCCCGGAUUCUCCGCCUGAAUGGACAUUCGAAUUCGACCCAGAACAAGAAACAUUCAAAAUCAAAGUGGAUAAGGCUGUUGUCACUCCUAAAAAAGCUACAAUCUUUUCUAAAAUGAAGAAGCGAAAGAGACAACAUAAAAAGAAAACUACAAUAUAAAUUAGGAAUAAUAGAAGAAAACUCUUUUUUUUUUUCGAAAGUAGAAUUCGAUAAAUUAUAGUGAAAAUUACAACAAGCACGAAUAAAGGAAGGAGAAAUUCUGGGGUGGUCAUUAUAGCGGUUCCUUCUGAUCCUAGAAAACGUCCGAAAAAACCUGCUCUGCUGUACGGCCAAGGCGGAUGUACGGUACAGCAGUAGUCCGUUUUUAAAAUAGUACGAAGCUUUCAAUUCAAGCACCUUUUUUCUAUACUAAAGGCCAAAGGGAAGUUGAAGCCCAACAUCCCGUGGUCGGGAUGGACACCGGUCUGGCCCACACCUACAUGGACUUUAAAUUGACUUCUGAUCGUCACUUUGCUUACCUCACCUUACCUGCUCAAUCUCCUAAGGGCGGGGACGGUGGCGGGUUUCCCGGAGUCGGAGUUCCCUUAGAACGGUCAGUAGGGGGGCUGAUCUCUGCUGUACGGCCAAGGCGGAUGUACGGUACAGCAGAUAAAUAUAAUAUUAUUUAUUUUAUUUUAUUAAUUAUAAAACAUUAAAUUGAAUUAAAUUUAAAAAAAAAAGGUAGAAGAGGGAGAGGUGGGAGUGGAUUCCCACUCCUACUCCCCAGUCCAAAAAUGGGUGGGGCCCACGGAAUGAGAUUCUCAAUCCCUCCCAAAUUUUGUGAAGUAAACACUGGAGUGGGAAGAAUCUGCACUCCUCAUUCCCACUCCAAAAAAUAAACACAGCAUAAAUGCAGCCAGAACUACUAUUGGGAUUGAAUCAAGCUAAAUAGUAAAAAAAUUUCUUCUUAAAGCAAAUUUAGCAAACGAAUGGACAUGAGCAUUAUAAGAUCUAGGAGUGUAUCAAACUUUAAUUUUUGAAAGUCUUUUUUUCUUUUGACUUUGGAUUUACGAAAUAGGUAAAAACUUGUUUAGUCUUAUAUUAUGAGAUUAGUGCUCGUUUAGUCCUUAUAUUUUUAAAAUACCUUAAAACAUCCUGCCAUUAAACUUUUGAUACCCAUGUCGUUACUUUUUGUUUCUUUUGGCUUGCAUUUACAAUAUUAUCCCUUCACAAUAAUGUUUCCUUUUUUAUUGGACAUUAUAAAAGGAAAAAAUUAAAUUAAUAAUUUAACCCUAAAAUAAAAUAUAAACAAAAAUAAUGUAUAUUAAUUCUUGUGGAAGCCGCAUAUGUCCAAAAAAUUAAUAUUAUAAAAAAUUACCAUUUUUUGGACAUUUAAUAAAAAAAUAAUAUAUUAACUUAUCAACAGAGUGUUCCACAAAAAUUAAUUAUUUUUUGGGGUUAAAUUGAUAAUUUAAUUUUUCUUUUUAUUAAUGUAAAAAAAAAGAAACAUAAUUGUAAGAGGGUAAUAUUAUAAAAGCAUGCCAAAAAUAACAAAAAAUAAUGGAAGGGGUGUCAAUAAUUUAACAGUAGAGAUAUUUUAAAGAAGUUUUAAAUAUAGGAAUUAACUGGAAACUAAUCUCAAAAUACAAAGGCUAAACGAGCUUUUAUCUUUUAUGAAAUUAUCCAAAAAAUUUAUCUUCUAUUGUCCUUUGUGUUGUUUACUAAAUCAGCCACUUCUUGGCAAUCUGUCUCAAUGAUCGAAGAAGAUAUUAGUGCCUCUUUUGCCACCUGUAAUCCCCACUCUAUGUCUUUUUCUUCUACAUAACUGACAUUUCUCCUUACUUGAGUCUUCCCGAUACCAAUUACCACCUUAUCAUUUGAAUCUUUUAUAGUAGCUUCCAAACCUAUCAUUUGAUCUUCAAUACUGAUAUCUACAUCAACAUUGAUUUUGAAUUUUUGGGAGGAGGGAUCCACUUUUGUUGCUUCUCAUUUCUGGCAUUGACAAUGUCACUUAUAAAGUUACAUUAAAAGAUCUAGGAUUAAAAUAUUUUACAAGAAUAAUGUCACUCUUUAUGUACCUGCAGAUACUAUUACUAACACACAAGCAUCCAGAAAUCUUCUACAAUAAUAUAUGAUAUUCUAUUCUGAUUCACGUAGUUGUUGUUCGACAUUUAAAAAUAAGGAAAUUGUCAAUUUCUUUCUUACUAAAAUCAAUAUAUACAACUAAUUUCCUAACUAUUUUUAUAGUAUCCAAUGUUAGUAAAUUGUUGGGUGGUGCAGACACGCAGCUAAAGUAAAAUUGGUAGAAACAAUAAAGAACAAGCACAAUAGAGGACACCAGAAAUUACGUGGUUCGGCUUUUAGCCUACAUCCACGGGCGAAGACAGAAGGAAAUAUUUUACUAGUGAAAAGGAGUUACAAGUAUUGUAGUAUUUUAGCUCACUUUCCAAAAACCCCAAUACACCCAAACUCUCUCAAUCACUGUAAUAAGAGCUUAUAAAUGCAAGCUCUUGAAUUCUCUCUCGACUCCCUAAAUUGCUCUCUGAAUAAUGGAAUGAAUAAGCUCUUCAUUUGCACUUGUAUUUAUAGCAAAAUGAUGGCCAAGAAAGUCAAAGCUGUGGGUAUCAAAACUUCUUCAAAACCGUGUUCAUCAAAGUUUGGUGGGUGAAAACCGUGUUCAAUUUUCAAAGCCAUGUGCCACCAUUAUUUGUUUAUGCAAAGCUUCUAGAUGCAGUCGAUUGACAUCCAAUAACUCCUCUAACAUAAAAAAUCUCUAACAUAAAAGAAAAGAAUGGUAAAUGAUUCAUUUGCUUGAUAUUUGAUCACAGAAAUAUAAAAUAUAAAUUUAUUAUAAAAAAUAAUUUUUUUUUAGUAUUUAAAUUUUUUAUUUUAAUUUCAGUUUAUAUGAUCGGUUUAAUUAAAACCUGAAUAUCAUCUUAAUUCUUAAACAUUCGUAUAAAAAUUAUCACCAUUAACUAAUCUGUACAAAUAGUGGAUUAAAACUUUGUAACUAUCAUAUGAUAGUCACAAUCACAAUCUGUUGUGUAACGGCUAUGCAAUAAAGAAAAAUUAACUUAUCAAAAGGGGAAAAAAAAUCAAAAGACCAGUAAAAGAAAUUUAACAGAAACUACGCGUGUGUGUGUAAUUAUAUAAUUAUCAUUCAGUUUUGAUGGAGAUUGAGUUUGCUUUACCUAAUUGGAAUAAAAAUAAAUUUCCGAAGAAUUAAGUAUAGAGUUUGAAACAUUAAAACGAAUUAAAGUAUUUAGAACCCAUCGAGGACCCUCGAUUGGUAAUCAAGAACAAGAAAAAGCCAAAAUUAAAUACAAGUUUGAACAACCGUUUAGUCGAGAAACGGAUUUUUAGAGGCCAUGCAACAUCAUGUAUAUAUGUGCAUGUGUGUGUGUGUGUGUUUAUGUAUAAAUUUAAAAACAUGUCUUCGGCUACUUAUAAAAUUUUGUUGCCAAUUUCUAUAAUGGUUUUGUGGAUGUGUUGCAUAAAGGCAUCUAGAGAGCUACAGGAAAAUGAAGAAAUUCCAGCACUUAUGGCGUUUGGAGAUUCAAUCCUUGAUACAGGCAACAACAACGAUCUGAUUUCAGUAGUAAAGUGUAAUUUCCCUCCAUACGGAAUGGAUUUCAUUGGUGGAAAACCUACAGGAAGAUUUUGCGAUGGCAAAGUUCUUACUGAUUUAAUAGGUAUGUGAUCAAAAGCUCGCCUAUUUAUACAUGAUGCUGGUAUUUUCCAAUUGAUUGUAUAUACAGUAUCCUUAUUACACUGUGACAUUCAUUAUUUAUUCAUAUGGCAUCAGUUUGUAAGAGUAGAAUUAUUUAAUCAAAUUUCAAGGUAACUUGUUGAUUUUUUUUUACAACAUUUGUGAGUAUAGAAGAUAAGGAAAGUUAAUUAAUACCUAAAAUUUGAAUUAGAAUCCUCUUAUGGUUUGAGGUUCAUGAACUUUUAAAGAUUCUGAACAACAUGUCUUUUAAUUUUGCUCUAAAAAGAUAAUAAAAUCAUGAAACUAUUUUCAUCAAAAAAUUUAGAGCUCUAAUUUUCUUUGAAAUUUCCAUAAAACUAUCUCUAAAGAAACUAUUUUCAUCAAAUCAAGAAGACAUUGAAUAACCGACAUAAAAGUAUAUUUCCUAGAAACUCAAAAGCAAGCAGGGAUAGGGACAGAACCUUGUCGAGUCCUGGGAGGCAAAAGUAACACUAAGAUAUCUUUGGGGUUUUAGUGAAAUUUAACCCGUUUAGUGUGAAUGUUAUGUUUGCCCCCUCAAAUUUCUAAUUUUAUGUUUUGGCCUUCAUAAUUUUAUUGUUUUCAUCACCGCCCUCGCCGAACCAAAUUAAAUCCUGGCACCAGCAGUCCAGCACUGCUGCAUAGGAAGGCCUCAAAUAGUAUUUUAUCAUAGUUUAAUCUCCCUGUCUUCUCUACAGCUGAAGGCUUAGGAAUUAAAGAGACAGUGCCGGCUUAUCUAGACCCAAAUCUGCAAAGUAAAGAUCUCCCAACCGGCGUAUGUUUUGCUUCAGGUGGCUCAGGAUUGGACACCUUAACAUCCAGUUUAACGGUGCAUAUAAACUUUAAUUCCAGUUUAUUUGUAUCUUUCUUUACAAUUUAAUGUCCCAAUUGUUAUGUGUCUCAUUUUUGCUAAAUUUUAAAUUUUUUUCCCCUAAUUUUUCGAAUGUUACCAAAAAAUGAUGAUCAGUCAGUAAUAUCGAUGUCUGAUCAAUUGAAAAACUUCAAAGAGUACAUAGGAAAGCUUAAAGGGGUUGUGGGAGAAGAGGGCGCAAACAAAACCAUAUCCAACAGCUUGUUUCUAUUGUCAGCAGGGAAUAACGACAUUGCAAUAAUCUAUUUAGACACUCCUUCAAGAGCUUUCCAAUACGACGUUCCUACUUACACUUCUCUGUUAGUUAGCUGGACUUCCACUUUCAUUAAGGUAAGAAUCAUGCUGUUAUAUAUCCUUUUGUUUGCAUCGACAUAUUGGAUUCAGCAUUUUACCCUCUACUCAACGUUGAAAAGACAAUACCUACCUAGGUUUUCGUUGCAUUGUAACUGUCGUACGUUAUUUAGGGGUCAAGCAGUUGAUAUUUUCAGUACUAUAUUAUGCAAAUUUCUUUGAAGGAUUUAUAUGGGCUCGGAGUACGAAAAAUUGGUGUUUUGAGUACAUUGCCACUGGGUUGUUUACCGAUAAUAAGAACUCUACAUGGGGGGCCAAUGAGGUUUUGUGGAGAUAACGCUAACAGAGCAGCACAGUUAUUCAACUCCAAGCUGUUGGCUGAGGUAAACAGUCUCAACAGCUCCCUUCCCCAAGCUAAGAUUGUCUACGUUGAUGUCUACAACCCUUUGCUUGAUCUCAUCAAGAAUCCAGUGAAAUCAGGUAAAUCAUUGUACAUGCAGAGUUUGUAUAUCAAGUGAUAAUGUGAUAAUCUUAUAAAACUUAUUAAUACUUGAUAUGUCAGAUGUCACGUCAUUUACAAAAUAAAUAAAGUGUCAUUUACAUGUUGCGGCACUUCGGCGAACGCAAGUUUAACUAACAUUUAUUUUCCAGGCUUCAGAGUUCCAGAUAGAUCAUGUUGCGGCACUGGAUUAUUUGAGGCAGUGAUACUUUGUAACCAGCUAACUCCCUUCACAUGUGAUAAUGUUUCAGAAUUUGUAUUUUGGGACUCUGCCCAUCCCUCAGAAAGAGCAUACAGGAUCAUGGCCCCUCCAAUUCUUCAAGAUUUGAAGAAAACCUUUUCGUAAAUCCUAGUUUCCAAUUACUGGCCAGUCCCAAGUUUGAGUUCUAGUAAUAAUUUAUUUAUUAGAGAUUAAUUAUAUAAUUAUUUAAGAUUUCCUCUUGUUAUUGAUGAUUAUUAUAGGUACAUGUAUCACUUUUUAAGAAAGUAAAAUUUCUCAUUUAGAAAUAAAAAGUAACAGAAUACUAAAAAUAUAAUCAUGGCUAUAUCAAUCUUCUCAACAAACAUAGGGCUUGUUUGCUAAAUGUCUAAGUUCAAAUUUUAUUUAUUUUGGAUUCUUUUUUAACAUUUGUAUGUUUUUUUUUUUUUUUUGUAACUUAUAUCUGAUUUUUACUUAUUCACAUCUGAAUAGAAAAAAUAAAUUUUUGUAAUUUUUACCUAACCGAAAAAAAAAAAAGAUUUGAAUGGGAAGUAAAUAUUAUAUAUCUCGAAAAUAUCUCUAUUAGAUAUAAAACUAUAAUAUAAAAUAUCUUUAUAGUAUUUCCUAAACUAUAAAACUUAAUCUUCUUUUUUGACUUACUAAGAUAUAUAUGUCAAAUAACCACAUUCAAGAUAUUUUUUAUUAAUAAAAACAAACAAAUGUUGUUUAUAUUCAAAUAUUAAAAAAAAAAACAAAUACAUCUUGUUCAAACUCAUUUAAACUUCAGAUAAAUUUAUACUUAGUCAGAUUUCAAAUAAAAAAUAAAUACUACCACAAUCUUGUAGUAAAAUAAUUAAUGAAAGAAAAUAAAAGUAGAGAGUAACUUAUCAAUAAAGAGUGCUCAGAUUAUUUUCAUAGAGAUUGAUUUAUUAUAAAAAAGAUCGAUUAAUAAACAUGCUAGAAAAAAGAAGAAAAUUCUAGUCUUAUAUAAAAAAUAAAGCCCUCUUGGAAGUUCUCCCUAGCUCAAUAAUUUUUUUAAUUAUUUUAUUUUAUUAUUUAAUUUAAUUGUAACUCAAUACCGUCUCCACUCUUUUGAGUGUUAAUUCGAACUCACAUGCAUUUUUAUGAGUGAAAUAAAUUCUAACAGUAAUUGUUUGCAAAAUUAUACCUCCCAAACAAUAAUUGUUUGUAAAAUUAUAUCACUCAAACCCAGUAUAAUAUUGGUGCGGCAAAAGCCACAACCAAACAAUCCGGUAAUAAAAAGGAUUUCUCUAUGAUGCUGUAUGAGUUUUUACAAUAUUAAUAUGGGAUUGUUAUGAACUUUUAAAUUUAACUUUUUUAAUCUCUACCAUUUAUUUAGUAUAAUUGAUAAAAUUAGUUAGUUAAAGAAUAACAAGUAACCUUUAGGUAGUAAGUUAAUAUAUAUAUUUUUUAUUUUAAUUAAUUGAUAAAAGAAAAUUUGUAUUAUGUUAGGAUAAAAAUCCCAUAAUUAAUAAUGGGAUCAUUGGAUAUAAAUAUUAAAAUCUUGACCAUUAAUUUAAUUUUAAUGGAUAAGUAAUUAUGUAACUAGUAAUUUGCAAGUUGUGGUAUUUCUUCAUACUUUAAAUUAUUUUUGAUCCAAUCAAUUCAUAAAUAUUUUUUAAGUCAUCAACAAAAUGAAAAUUUUUUUUUAAAAUUAUUAUGUACUACCUAUAAUUUUACAAUUUCAUAUUUUUUUAGUUUUACAUUUAGUAUUAGAAAAAUAUAUACAUCAAAAUAAAUGUAAUUAACAGGUAAUGUUAUUUCAAUAAUACUUUAUAUAACAUUAUUCUUUGAGGCCUUAUAAUAAUUUGUAUUGUAUGAAUUCAAUUAUAAAAUUAUUAAUACUUAAACAAUAAUGAUCAUAGAAGGUAUAGUAAUUAAUUAUUUGAUCAAUGUUUUAUUAAUGAUACUAUGAGCAACAACAAAGUAGAAAUAUUUUAUUUAACAACUAUAAUUGAAAAAAAUAUAUAUGCGUAUAUAACCACAUGAUGGCUUUGGUAUAUACUUUUAGAGUUAGGUUUUUUUAACUUAAAUUUUUAACAUAAAAUGUAAAUUAUUAACUUCAUGCAGUUCAAUGAUACUAUCAUAAAAAGUUUUUUUGACUUUCGCUAUUAACCAUUAGAUUGUGAGAGAUUAAUAGCUCAAAUUUUGUAUCAAAAUUUAAGUUAAAAAUCCCAAACCAUGUUUUUAUAAUGAAAAUGUAAAAUAUUUAAAGAAAUUUUUUCUUAUUCUUUUCCAUGUAAAUAUUAAUAGAGGUAAUAUUUUAUUUAUUACUACCAUUAAUUAUCAUAAUAAGAAGAGCAAUGACUCUUAGUACCAUAAAAUUUUACAAUUACAAUAAAAGAAUAUCAAUAAAAAAAAUUCUGUCAUGAUUCAUAAACUAAAGCUAAUUAUGAAUAUGUUAUAUUUAACUUUUAUGAAAUUAAUAAAGGGAUAUUUAAACAGAAAAUGAAAAUAUAUAUGAUCGUGAAACUUAGAUUUUAUAAAGUUUGGAUAAUUUUCUACUAUGUAAAAAUAUUUUGUAACAUAAAUCAUAAUUUCAUGGAAUAAGUAUGCUAAAUGGGUGUUAAAAACUAUACAUACCUUAUGAUCCACUAUACAAUGGUCCUUGAUAGUAUACUAAAUAAUGGGUAUUUUAUGCGAUAUUAAAUUUACUAAAGUAUGAGUGAUCAAUUAUUUUUUAGAUUACAAACAAUCUUACCCAUGAGUUUAUUGAAGUAAUUUAUGAUAUUUACUUAAAUAUAUGAUCUUAUGUUGUUUAUUGGUGUUACACCGUAUAUAAAUUUUAUAAUUACAACUUAUUUAUUUGAUUUGUGUUAGAUAAUCUAUUAGAUAUUAUAUCUUAUACUUAGUAGUAAUAGAUUUUUAAACAUUUAUGUUAAAAAAAAAUAUCACAUUACAAAUGGCAAAGAGGAAUGAAAAGUGAUUUUUAAAUAAAACAUACCAUUCAAGUGAAAUUGUUUCAAACUCCAAGGUGGUAAGAGCUAUUUUACAAAAAUUCUCCAUUUUUUCACUCCUUAACAAAGCGAUUACAAUUAUUUGUAAAUUAUUUAAAUACAAAUAUCAUGUACCAUUGAUUAAAUCUAAUAUUACAUUAUUGAAAUAUUAUUAAUGCUGUAAAUAAAUUACAGCAUUAUAGAGGGACCCUAAUAAAAAAGACCGAAAGUCGGACUCUCCCAAAAAAAAAAAAAAAAAAAACGAAUCGGUACAGUCUGUACGCUGAAGUUUCAAGUUUCUUUUAACAUAACAAGCGAAAGAAACGCGGGUUUCGACGAGCACAAUCUCAAAGCCUUGGCAAAAUCCCGCCACAAGGUAAAUAAUUUCAAUCACUUAAUGUUAUUUAGCUCCUCAUCUUUUUCAAACAAUCCCAUGUCAAUAUUUAUCCAUUCGCCAAUCUUGUUAUUUCUGGAAAUAUUAAUUAAAAUUAUGUGAAAAUUAGUAAGGGGUUCUAAGAAGUGAUUAAAAAAUUGGAGAAUUUUCUGGAAUUUAUACUGUGUUUUUGAAUUUUGGAGAUUGAAUUAGAAUCUGGGUACUGAUGAUCGAACACAAAAAUAAUGUUAAAAGUAACAUGGGAUAAAUUAAUCAGGAUUUUGCUUAACCUGUGGGUAGUCAUGGAAAUUAAUUUUAAUAUUUGAAAUAACUUUUAAUCAAUUUAAUUUUUUUCCCCUUGUUGUUAUCUUAGCAACAUGUCACCUUUAGAACAAGAAAGAAGUGUCAAGUGCAUAGAGAAUCGUAAGAAAAGAAGUGUUAUGUGUAUAAAGGAUCAUACGAGCAAAGAUAGAUUGUAGAUUUUAUGUUUUAACUAAUGUGUUGACUGGAGUAAAAGAUGAAGGGGUGUUUUAUGUGAUGAUCUAGUCGUAUGCUACGAAAACAUUUGUUCAAUGCAAAUGCAAAAGAGAAGAGAUUGAUUCAACUUUCAGGAUACUUAGAAGGAUAAGACAGGGUGAAGUGAGAAUCAAACUAGUUGGUUUUGAGUUGUGUCAAACUGACAAGUAUGAGAAUUUGAAGAGAAACAUGAGCAUUGGAAAAGAGAAGGUGACACCUAGCAUUAACGGAUGGAUGAUGGUACAUGCAAUUUUGUGUUUCCUUCUGUUCUUCGGAGAGAGAAGAAUUUUCUGUUCUUGUAUAUUUUAAGAAGAGUAAAACAGAAAACCUUUUAAAACUGUUCUCGGACAGAGAUAAAUGCUCAAUUACAAAGUCAGAUCAUAUUUGACUCAACACAUGCUAUGGCUCAUAUAACUUAAGAAGUGUCAGUGUUCUAGUAUGUGCUCUGUGAUGUGUCUGUUGAGAUUCCCUCUACUCUGUAAUUUGAUGACAGGUUGCUAUAUUUGCCGUAGUAAUCAUGUGUUCUUGAGAAAUUAAGCAUAUGGAAAUUACUUGUCAUUACACUUGUGAUACUAGGAAGCUAAUUGUGAUACCCUAUGAGAAGUUGGAAGAUCAGUUAGGAUACAAAUCACCAAACUUCUAGUUCAUGCUCCUUUUACUGCUUUAUGCUUCAAGCUGAGUACAAGGUCUUGCUUGAGAAAGAGUUACAGAGUUCUUUACUUUUUAUGGUAAAUGUUUUUUUAAUCUAGAUAUAAGCUUAUUGGGUCAGAAAGGCCUGGACUACAUUGAUUGCAUUAUGCGUAACUAACUGUUCUUUCUCUAAUUCUCCCCAUGUUUUCCUCUCUUUACGAUUUCCUCCUUCUGUAUAUUAUUGGUUUAUUAUUUUAUCUGUCAACUCUAUUCAUUACUUCUAUUUGUAUCCAAAUCGAUGGAAACUUUUUGGGAAAUUGUUGUAUGGCAUAGUAGCUUUAUGUUGCAGAAAAAGUGAUUUCAUUUCCAAGGGGUAUCAUCCCUUUUAACAGAGCUCUAAAUGCUUCUGCUAUAGUCCAUAUCUUGAUUGCUGUACCAUUCUUUGGUAGGAAGGAUAUUAACAGAUGUCUCUUGCCCUUUUUUUUUCAAUUCAAAUAGUAAUCAGGCUCUGGAUCAUGCCAUCAGAAUCUGAUAAAUGGGGAUGGGAACACGUUAGUGUGUUUGGUGGGUUUGAGCGAGGAAGUGGUACUAAGAGGUGGAAAUGCAACCACUGCAAUCUACGAUAUAAUGGAUCUUAUUCUCGUGUUAGAGCUCACCUUCUGGGUUUCUCAGGUGUUGGGGUCAAAAGCUGUCCUGCAAUAGACAGGUCUAUGAGAGAAACAUUCCAGAUCCUUGAAGAGGAACGCAUUGCUCGGAAAAAGAAAAGGACUUCUGGGAUUGCAAAGCAUGGUAAACGCAUUAGGGCAUGCCAGUCAAGCAUUGUAUCAAAAGCCAUAUCUAAAGAAGAUGUUGAUGAGAUGGUAGCUAGAUUUUUCUAUGCUGCUGGACUGAAUGUCAAUGUUGUCAACUCUCCUUACUUUCUGGAAAUGGUGAGAUCAAUUGCUGCUUUUGGCCAUGGAUAUGAUCUCCCAUCGCUAGAAAAUCUGUCCGACUCAUUUUUAAGUAAAGAGAAAGGAAAGAUUGAGAAAUUCAUCGCUUCAGUCAGGGAAUCUUGGCCUCACACAGGAUGUACAAUAUUGUGUGUCAGUAGCUUAGAUGGUAGACUUGGCUGCUUCCCCACUGGUAUAUUUGUCUCAAGUCCAAGGGGACUUGUCUUCUUGAAAGCAUUAGAUUUAGAUGAUACUGAUGAGGCAGAGAAUUUGUUCAUUACUGUUCUCAGUGAUGCAAUUCUGGAAGUUGGGCCUAAAAAUGUACUUCAAAUAAUCUCACAUUUAGGUCACGCUUGUAAAUCUUAUGAAUCCCUUGUCUUGUCCAAGUUCCCUCAUAUAUUUUUGUCUCCUUGUACUUUACAAUCUAUCCACAUGUUCAUGGAAGAAAUAGCUAGCCUUGAGUGGAUAAAAUCUACCGUAUUGUGUGCUAAGAGGAUUGAGCAGCACAUAAUGUAUUACCAGCAUGCCUAUCCAUGUCUUUUUCCUCAUAAUCUAAAAGAGAGCUCUGACCAAGUUUCCACAAAAAUUGCACCUUCAUACUGCUUUGUCCAGAGGAUUAUUGAGCUAAAGCAAGUACUUCAGGAGGCAGUUGUUAGUGAAGAGUUUAAGCAAUGGAAGCUUAGUAUGCCAGGGGACCAUGGAAUUGUUGAAUCUGCUAUUUUAGGUGAUGAUUUUUGGGGCAAGGCUCAUUUGUUCUUGCAGUUAUGUGAGCCUUUUGUGAGAUUACUGGCUACAUUUGAUAUUGAUAAAUCUGUCAUGGGUGCUGUAUAUGAUUGGCGGUUUCAGGCACUCGAGGCUGUUAGAAUGAAAGGAAUUGAUGCCACUGCAUUGAAUCAGUUGGAAGUUCUGACAGAAAACAGAUGGGAUGCAUUAUUUUCUCCUCUUCAUGCUGCUGGUUAUAUACUAAACCCUAGAUAUUUCGGAAGAGGUCAAAACAAGGAUAAAACUGUAAUGCGGGGUUGGAAAUCUACUCUAGAAAGAUACGAGUCUGACAGUGCAACCAGGCGGAUUCUUAGAGAGCAGCUCAGCUCUUACUGGCGACUAGAGGGAUCGCUGGGAGAGGAAGAUGCUGUUGAUUUUAGAGACAAAAUGGAACCAGUUGCAUGGUGGGAAAACUUUGGUUUUGAAAUUUCGCAUUUGCAGACACUAGCCAUAAAGGUUCUGAGUCAGGUUUCAAGUGUUGCAAUAUGUCAAGAAAUCUGGCAAGAUAAUGAUUUCCCAUGUCGAGAAGCAGCCAACAGGUCUGGUGUGGAAAGGCCUGAAGAUCUUAUUUUUGUUCGAAACAAUCUCAGACUGCAUAACCAGAGAAAUGUGAAUUUAAGUUCCCCAUCUAGCCAAAGAAAUAUGUAUUUUGGCUAUCCGUCAGGAGUAAAGACAUGGGAUAAUAUGCAUCUUGAUCAAACAAUGGAGAUUGUAAAUAUCCAUGACAAAUUGUGAUGAAGCAUGUGCCACUUGUAUACUUAUUUUAUAGUUGCUAGUCUUAGAUAUUCUUGGGUGAUUUAGCGCCCAAUGUAUCAUGUUCGUCAGGGAUGGUUUUCUGCAGAAAGAUUUCCAGGUUGGUCUUGUUUUUUAUGAUACGUUGUGUACAUUAUUAUGAUAUAUGUUACUGUGCCUGUGAUGUUUAUGCCUUCAAGAUGCUAGGAAAUCACAUAGAGUUUCAUUGUAAGUAUGAUUAUAACUAUCCAUUCUUCUUGUUCUUCACACAUUGAGUUGUUCUGUAUUUUAUCACUUCAAACAAGUGCUGAAACAUGUUUCUUUCAUUCGAAGCAUCAUGAUAACAUUAUUUGCAUAUGAAUCAGUCAUUAUAGAAGAAAAAGGUAAGACGUAAAACAUUGAGAAAAGUAAUAAUAAAAAAACAUUGGUAACAUCCUGAAUCUUACAGUACAGGCAAAGGUUUAUUUCUUUAUUUUUGUUUAGUUGGGUUAGAUGAUGUAAAAGCUUUUGUAGGACCUGGGAAAGAUAUUAUAAUCCAUGCAUGGGGAAAAGCUUCAUCAAUUAUUUGCGGUAUCAUGGUUUUCACGGGCUUGCAAUUAUAGCAGUGGCUUUUCGAUUACUUAGCUGAGACAGCAAGAUUAAGUGUGUUAUGUACUUGUGUUGAGUCCAUAAGCAUAAAUGAAAACUAUCAACGUAGUUGCAGCGGUUAAUUAUGAUUUGAUUAUGAAUUAUGUAUGAUGCAUACAUUUCCUUUUCCAACAGAGGGUUUAUUUAUUUUUAGGAGCCAACAGUGUCUUGAUGGUGGAAAAGCCUUAUUAGUGGGAGGCCCGGCUUCGCUUUCAAAGAUCAAAGUGGGGUAUUUUCUUGGCUGAUUUGAUGAUUCUGCUCCUCCAAUUCUAAAAUAUAUCUGACACGAUGGCUUUGAUGUGAUUUUCGGGUUUCGCCACUUGUCUUUUUCAUUCAAUAUCUUGAUAAACUGUUUUAUUAAAGAAAUCUGUCGGUGCAAACGCAAUUUGUGCAAAUGCUGGUGAACUUCGUUGUUUGUUUAUGAGAUUCAAAAUCUGAUUCUGUAUGUUCAAAGGGUCCGACCGUGGCACCCACCCUCAUAGCCAGUGCAUGGACGUUUCGUUAGAAGAAAUGAAAAGAAAAUCAAUAAUGGCAUGUCUUGUUAGAAGAAACGAGAAGAAAGAAGAGAAGAGGAAAUGAAAAAGGAAGAAAAAAAAAUAGAAGAACAGAUGAUUUGAAGUAAAUAAUGAAAUUGGAAUUGAUCUUUUCUUUACUCUUAUUUUCUCUUGUCCUCUUUUAUUUUCAUUCCUCUUCUCUUUCUUUUUUUUUUUUUCAACUAAACAUGCAUUAAAAGUUUACAAAAUCCGAUUAAUUAUCUAAUGGUUCUAAAGCUGUAGAAUACGAUAUCUCUAGAGUAAUUAUAGUCAUAACUUUGUGCAUUAUUAGAUGAUAAAAAAAUCUGACCAUUUGAUGGUGCUCAAAUCAGGGAUACGAUGCCCUUAGGUACCGCAAUCACAACCCUGAUUAAAUCCAUCAAAUCUCAAUUGAAAAGAAUAAUUUAAUUAAUUAAAUUAAAAAAAAAACAUAUACUUUAUUUAAUUGGUGUAUUAAAAACGUACUUCACCACGAUGGUGCCCUUAGCAUAAAUCAUGGAGGGGCCAAAAUCGUACAAGCAAAAUUUGCUGUUUAUAAUAGACAAUUUAGCAGAUUACAAGAGCAGAGGCAUCUACUUUACUUGGUAUUUAAGAAAAGUUAAUUAAAACCUUGGAAACCGUAGAUGGUCAAGCCUUAUGAGCGGAAAAUGAAAUUGGGAAGAUGAGAAAAGUGGUCGUACAAAGUAACAAAAGCAGCAAAGAGAUGCAGAAUUUAGGAACAUAAAUUCAGGAUUCAAGGAUUAUGCAUUAUAUCAUGCUCUUUUAAUGAAUGUGAAGCAUGCAAUCAAAAUAUUAUGCACUAUAUACUUUCAAAAGAAAUUGAGCCAUUAUUAUAUAGUCAAUCAUGUAAAUGAAAAAGAAAAAUGGGAAAUGAUAGGAACAUACACUAAUAUAUAGCAGACAAAGCGAACAUGGACCGAAAAGAAAAAAAGAUAAAAAAAAAAAAAGGGCUUGAAUUUUCAAAAGAGGAUGCGUAGUUGGGUUUUUUUAGAGCAAUAUUUUCAACAACUGUAUCUAAAGAUGUAGCAUAUCUUUCUUUUCACUCUAAUUUUUUCUCCCUCUUUUUUUUUUUUUUAAUGUUAAUAAAGAAUAUCAUUUCCAAACAAUAGAAUCAAAAUUAACUCUACUGUAUAAAAAAAUGUCAUUACAAGUAUCAACCAUAGAUAUUCAGUCUGGAUUACCGCAUUUUAUAUUGCUGAAGGCCAAGAAUUUCGUAUUUUACUAAAGCUAACAUUCAAACUUGACAAAAAUUUCACAUAUCAAAGCCAUUCUUAUUUUUCAAUAUGUAUACUCACAAGUAGUUACACAUAUAAUUAAAAGUCCUACUAGUUGUCGAGUCCACUUCUAUACCUCAAGUUUUUCAAUUGAGUAUGUUAAUGGACUUCUCUUAAUUAAGUGCUUGUUGGUAUAUAUUUAUGUCUAACAUUAGAUCAUAGAAUAGAAUAUUAAUUAAGAGGAGGGUGGCAUUUCUAUUUCGCUCAUUUUCCUAAUACCUAAAGAAUAGAAGUCUUAUAUAAAGGAACAAACAAGAUUGAAAAUAUAUUUUGUGAUAAAACUGUCUCUUAUAGAUGAUCCCAAGCUUUAAACCUACAAUAAUUAAUCUAUCAAAUCAAAUAAGAACAAGUGUGAGAGAAUCUGCAUCAGCAGCCCAUGGCAUCACCACCAAACACACACACACACACACACACAUACACAAACACAAACACCCACUAAGCAAAUUGAGACUACCAAUAAUAUUAAUUUGUUAUUGAUUUUGCUUUGUAUACAAUGAUGUUUUAACAACACCCGUUAUUCCUCUAAUAAACAAGUAAUGAUAUUAACAAAACCAUAAUGUUUUAUCAUUUCAACAUAGCUCAAUCAAAGAUUCUUAGACCUUAAUUUGCUCCUAGUAGAAGACAAACCAUCUUUACAAAAUUUCCCUUUUAAUAAGCCUUGCGUCUAGGCUUCGCAUGAUUAUUAUGAAUUCAUGAUAUAGUAAAAAAGGCAAACCAAAUAGGAAGUAAAUAAAUAAAUAAAAGCAAUAAGGAAUAAGCACAAAAAAGUCAUCUAAUUAUUAUUAUUUUUUAUUUUACAUAAUCUUCAUUUGAAAUGUCAAACAAGCUACAAGUGAGGGAUUAUUGCGAAAAAUGUGGAACAAGAACUGACUAGAUCAUUAACACUUUUGUAAAAAUCUAGAAGUCAGAGAACAGAUUUCCAACAAUUGUUUUUUUUUUUUAAUUAAUAGAUUCUUCUGAAAAAGAAAGAAUUAAAAAGAAAAAACCUCCGUCACUGCCUCGGAUAAUUGUUGUGUAAAUUUAUAUUUUCAAAUAAUAUAAUUAUCAUUAUUAUAGACAGAGUUAUUGAUUUCAGCAGCGUAGCAAUCUCAACACUGAAUGAAAUUUAUGGCAUAAACCCAUUUCUGAUGAUCAGGUCAACCAACUGCAAGACUUUGUUGGACCACAAACAACCUUUCAAUUCAUUAAUCUUUAUAUAUAGCUUAAUAAAUAAACAAAAUCUAUAAUUCGUCUCAAAUUCCCACAUGGAUUUCAAGAUAAUUUAUCUCAUGAAGAAACUGCAUUAAUUAUUUGAAACAUUUUUCCUAUUAUACAAAAGACAUCUUGAAUCUUGAAGAUACAAUAUAAUUUCUUUGUUUUUUUUUUCUACAGAACAAAUUGCUUGAAGACAUUUCCACACACACACUUUGCUACCAAAUGGCCCACACUCCAAGUAAUAAGGAAUGAAUUGUUACGUGAUAUUUUUCUCUUUCUCGUUUUUUAAUUUAUUUUCCGUUUCUUACAAAUUAAAUAAACGUCGGCAAAGUUUGUUCACCAAGCCCUCUCCAGCGCUCACUUUUCAUGCAUGAUGACUCCAUGAUAUGUGACAAAAAUGUGUUAGUGUUUCUUUUUCGCAAGAUUUUAAUAUGAUUUUUAAAGAAAAAGUUGCUGCUUUUAGCCUUUUACUUUGACCACAAACACUUUUCCUUUUUCCAUUGAAUUUUUUUUUUUUUUGUUAAUUAUAUUAGGGUUAGUGAAAUUAAGACGUCGCACAAGAAACAAAAUCCAAAAUCAAAAGAAGAAUCCAAAGGGUUGAAUAAUCGAAGUAUCGAACCCUGGAUAAUUAAAAAAUGCACAGUGUCGGUUGGGAAGCGUCUCCCUAGACUUGUUCAGACGAACAAAGUUAAUGGUGGCAUGUCAAGUAAAUAUCAUAUAUGAUAAAAUAGCCAUGAAUAGAAGCUUCACCACACCAGUAUCUAAUUUCUGUAUAUAUCUUUAACUUUUUUAACUAGGGUUUUGUGUCAAUUAUUUAUCUUUGUUUUAUUCUGUGAAAGCUUAAAGCUCAACUACUGUUUGUUUUUCUUUUGAGUUUUGGCUCAAAAAGUUUCUUUAAAACGAGCUUCAUUAAUUAUCUCAUAUAUAUGUAGCAUGAAUUAUUUACCAGGGGAAGAAAAUUUUCUAAUUAUUGUGUUCUACAAAGUAUGUGCGUAAGAGGGAAAAAAAAUGAUAAUAAUAACGAAGAGGAAGAGACUGGAGAAGAAAAGAAGAGAAUUAUUAUAAAAGGCUCUAGGGCUCCACAACCCACAACUGAAAAUGGUAGGUCACCAUUGGUAACUUUUGUUAUAGGCGGUAAUAGAGUUAGUUCUUGAGUAUAUAGAAGCCAAUAAUAUAAGAUAAGUGUUAGUCUGGUUAGGUUAGCUUUAAUUUGUUUAUUAAACUAACUCAAUAUAUAUAUACUUAAUUAACCAAAACACUAUUUCAAAAUACCUGUUAAUAUUUUGCAAUAUGCUUCAAUUUAGUUUUAAAUAAGUUGAAUCUAUAAAUCAAAUUUGAACAGACGUUAUCCAAUUUGGAUCAUUGUAUAUAAAGUAAAUUGUAGCAAUAUAAUGUUGUUUUGAAGGUACUAAUUUAAGCCUGCACUUGAAAUAUGCAAAUCCCUAUCUAAAUUGGAUAAUAAUUACAAGUUUGAAUUAUUAACUUCAAGAAUUAUUAUGAGAUCGAAAUAUUUUAACAACGUUUUAUAUACAAGUUUUGAAUUCAAUACAUAUAACAUAAUAGAUAUAUGUUUACAUUUUUCCACAUAAUUUAUCAUUCUUCCAUGAUUGGGUAAUGAUCUUUAUACUUACUCUUUAAAUCUCAUAUAUAAAAAAUCAAUUUCAAGUGUGGCGAUUCUUAUUUUUUUCUUAAUGUACACACACGUUAAAACUGUGCAAUUUGAUAAUGUAUUUAUAUUGACUCUAUUAAAUCGCACGAUUUAAUUGUGUGUUCUUAUGAAAAAAAAAAUAAAGAUAAGGGUGUCUGUAUUAAAUAAUAAACUAGGUAAAUUGAGCUAGUCUAGAAUUAAGUGAACAAUGACCCCAAAAUUAGGCAAAAUGACAGACAUGAGCCAUACAUCGAGGAAUGGGCAUGCUUGUAGGUUAAUAAAAAGGUAAAAAAGAAUAGCUUUCACAUUAACGACACAUGCAGACAUUACUGAACCAAACCCUUAAAAUAAAAAUUCAUGUCAUUAAAGCUCUACACAUGAUUUAGUAACAAUUCCAAUGGGCUGUAUCCAUUGCUUUUACCAAAUGAAAUACUUCUUAUUGCAAUGCGUACUUGAAUGGGUUAUUAUUAUUACGCCAUCAUCAAUUUGUCAAAGAAUUGCUUAUCAAUUUUAUUCUUUUUAUUUAGUACUUACUCUACAAGUCAUAUUCUUUUAAAGUAAUGCCACUUGCAUUUGUCAUACGAUUGCAUUUUAGGAAUGAAUUAAAAUUGAUAGCUAUGCCUUAAUCUCAAAAAGAGUAACAAUAACAACAAUAGUAAAAAAUUUGCAAGAGAUGAUGAAGAUGCCAUAAUGAUAUAAUUAAAACAAUCAAUGAACAAAAUAUCAUCUAUUUCUUAAUCAACUCUUCUUCAUUUACACUUUUUGGUUUGCUAUAUUAAUAUUAGAUCCGAAUCAUUUCUUUAUUUUUCUUCUCUCAUCUAUUCUUUAUUUUUUAAAAUCUUAUGACACAUGACUUCAGUUAAAUUGUGUGGCUCAAAUAUUUAUUUAAAAUAAAAUAUUAUGCUGUAUUUUUUUAGUAUACUCCCUCAACACUUGAGUGAUUCAAAUCAUCAACCCUAAGGAUAAAAUAAAUAGGUGUCCACCAACUCAAUAAAAUAAUUGUUAGCCACUACAUUCAUAUUAUUUUUUUAUUUCUUGAAUUUAAAAUAUUGCUGUGAGUUUAAUGUAAUUAAGUAAUUAAAUUAAAAGAAAAUGUGACCGACGGAUUUGACAAAUAUCACGUGUCAUUAAAUCGUUAGAAAUCAAGGAUAUGUAGGAAAAAGAAAAUAGGGGGGAGUAUCUAAUUCUUUGUGUGUGUGUGUGUGUGUGUGUGUGUGUAUAGUAUAAAAACUAAAGUGAUACCAAAGUUUUGAUUGGAUUAAAUAAAAGUGAAUGUAAAUUAAAAAAAAAAAAAUUCAGGAUUGGAUUAAAUAAAAGUGAAUGUAAAUUAUGUAUAGUAUAAAAACUAAAGUGAUACCAAAGUUUUGAUUGGAUUAAAUAAAAGUGAAUGUAAAUUAAAAAAAAAAAAAUUCAGGGCAUGUGUCAAUUAUGCAAUAGUGUCGCAUCUGUUUUUAUCCAUUAUCUGUGAUAUUACUUAAAACCAUAACCCACAUAAUAAUAAAUAUAAUAUAAAAAGUAUGCACAGGAUUGCAUUAAUGAUAGGAAUACAAACUUGUUUAAUUAUUUUUCGUUGUUAGAAAUAAUUAAUAGAGCUAUCUCCUUUGUGAAGAUCUUUUUGUGAUUUCCAUGUAGAAGAAAAAAUUAAUAGGAUUUGGUUGGAGGAGACAGAGUGUGGCUCACACUGCUCUAGGCUUAAAAUACGCCACAUAGUCCCCCCCAUAAUUUCUCAUUGUAAUAGCGAUUCUCAUGGUUUAUACAUGCACUUCCUAAUUAAUUAAUUAAUCAAACUUCACGUGUCAUUUUUUUUUUCAUUUCAUAAAUAAUAAAAGUACCACAAAGUAGUCAAAUUUUUGGACUCUAAAAACCUCCAUAAUUAGAAUUUGUAGUCGGGUUCAUGACUAUUAAACGCCUCGAGUAGUGGCAUCGCCUGCGGAGUGAUUGGAUGUAAUACAGACAAAAGGCUUGAGAGCUGUUUCAUCCGUUGAUUAUGUUCAGCUUCAGCGUCACUUCACGAGUAUAUAUAUGAAAAUGAGAGAACAUUUAAAUUGAUGGUUGUUGAUAAGGGUUGAUGAUGUUGGACGGAUUGUAAAUUCAAAAGGUCAAUUUGCACAGAACAACUAUAGACAGAAUUUUAAGUGCAUCUCAAUUGCAGUAUUAUAUUGUCCACCAAUUUUGAUCUCGCAGUAGACACUUCGUUAUCUCAUUUUUUUACAAAAUUUUUUAAUCCUGAUUUCUCAAUAGAAAGAGUAAAAUUUCUCUUAAUUUGGAGAACUGAGAAAGUAUAUAUAUAUUUUAUUGAAACAAAUUUUUAAACUGGACUUCAAAUGCAAUAAUUCAUAAAUUCGAUAUAGUGACACGUCUACUAAUACAUUCAACUAGUCAUUUUCGAGAGAAAAAAAUGAAAAUAAAAUGAUAUAAAAUAUUCAUAAUUCCGUGUGUUAACACGAUUUCAUAAUUUGCAGUUUUUCUUACCUUAUUAAUGCAAAGUCUGUAAAUUAUAGAUCUGUCAAAAUUGCAUGCCCCUUAUUUGGAAAGAAAUGUUUAUUACGGAAACAUCUUAUCUCUGGCUUGAUUCAUUAAUGCUUCUUCAAUCUUUAAUAUGGGAAAUAAUUAAUCCUGCAAAAGAUUUAUUUGCCAUUAUUGGCUUCAUUAUAUUUAAAUCUGCUCUUAUCCUUGUUUAGAAGAAUAAUUAAUACAAAAAUAAACUUUUCUUGUGAAUUUAACCAUCCAACUACCACUUCACACAACAUGAACAUUUUAUUUUUGUGUCCUCUUCCUUUUCCACUGGUUUACUACCAUUCCGUCCCACACCGUGAACCAAUUCUUUCUUAAUAAAUUUAGUCAAUUUGGAAUCUUUCAUUUUCAUAGCCAAUUUUUAAAAAAAAAAGAACAAAAAAUGAAAAUAAAAUUUAAUUUGCUUUCACAACAAAGAAUUAUACAGUUAUAUACAAAGACACAAGUUCAAGUAAUCUCGUGAUAUCCAAUGCACAUUUUAUUUACAAUCACGUUUUGUAUAAAGAUUGUCAAGUCACCAUUUAAAUCUGAGAAUUUUAUAUAAGAAUAGAUGCAAUGUAAAUUGAUUAAGACAAAAGUGAUGCUAACAAUUUUAAAAUAUUUUAAAAACAAUAAAAGUGUAUGUGUAUUUAUCCAAAUUAGAUUUAAAAAAAAAAACUAUUUUUAAGGUCACAUACUACAUCAUAAUAUAUAACUCAAAAUAAUAUAUAUGUAAGUUUUUAUCUAGCACAAAUGUACCCAUCUUUUUAACAUUAAGAAAAGAACAAAAAAUAUUACGAAUAAGAGAGCAUGUUUUACUUAAUUUUUAAUUAUAUUCGUAAUUUUUAAAGUCCAGUGUUUUUGUGUGUGUGUGUGUGUGUAUAUAUAUAUUUUUUUUUCAAAGAAUAAAGAAGCAAGAAGAAUGCUAACAAGGUUUUGCUUUAUUGAAAGGUUUAUGAGGGAAGUUAUGUAACAAUUUCUAACAUGAUUCUUGCCUCAUGUUGAAGGAGAACUCUUUAUCUUUAGAUCCUAUUAACUCCUUCCACAUGUGUACUUUUUCAGCUUUUAGGUACAAAGCAGUUAAUGGAACAACCCUGAAAGUGAAAGUCAUGUUUUUGGCUUCUUUUACUCUUUUUUUUUUAACAUUUUUUUUAUUUAUUACAGCACCCCAGAUCAUAAAAUUUUACUCAUCACAUUACUCAAUCAUAACUUCACAACCCGCCACCUCAUCAUUUUUACACAGAGUUAAAAAAAAAAAAAUCAUUUCAAUGGAAUCACUUGUCACUUCAGUAACUCUCCACUGGCCAUGUGAGCAGACAGCAGAGCCUUCAACAAACACUUAAGACAGUUGAAAACGGAGGCACAGUUAAAUUUACGGGCUUCUGUAUUUUUUAUUUUUUUUAAUGGGCACCCAAAAAAAACAAAAAAACAAAAAAGGGAAUUAUUAGUGUUUAAAAAAAGAGAGAGGAGAGACCAAAGCUGACUAUAAAAUGACCUCUGUUUUCUCUCUCCAUUGUUUAUCAUCAAUUUCUCUUUCUUUCAUAAAAUCACAACCCUCUCCUCUUUCUUCUUUCUCUCCCUCCAUUAUGCCUCAAUACUGCUCUGUCUCUGCUUCAUUUUGGUAGAGGGAAAAAAAAAAAAAGAGCAAGUAUUGGCUAAAAAACCAGAAAGUAAAGAUCUUUCUGUUCUUCCCUUAACUAGGACAAAAAAAAGGAGAGAAAGAGAGAAAGUCUUUUAAUUUGCGUUUUAAUUUUCGCCCAUUGUGUUCAAGUUUCCAUGUAAAAGCCAAGAUUUGUUCCAAUUCAAUCACAUUGUGAAAAAUUUUCCUUCUUGUUUCUUGUUUUUUAUCCAGCAUUAGCCAAAAAAAAUCUCUUUAUCGCCUCCCCUGUUUUGCUCUGUUAGAGAAAAUGGCUCAAAUUUCACCAAAAUUUUUCAUACCAGAGUCAUUCCAAGUGUCAAGAGAGGACAUUGCAGGACAAAUUGGUUUGAUUUGGGAACUACUCAAAGCCCCAUUGAUAGUCCCUUUGCUUAAACUCGGGGUCUACAUUUGCUUGGCCAUGUCACUCAUGCUCUUCAUGGAAAGGGUUUACAUGGGCAUUGUUAUAAUCCUUGUUAAGCUGUUUUGGCAAAAACCUGAGAAGCGUUACAAUUGGCAGCCUAUUGAAGACGAUGUCGAAUUGGGCAGCUCUAAUUUCCCCGUUGUUCUUAUUCAAAUCCCAAUGUUCAAUGAAAAAGAGGUCUCAGUCUCACUAUUAUUCUCACUCUUGUUUAAUUUGCUCUGUUUUUGUUUUCUCGUGUCUUUCAUUUCAGCAUCUAAUACAAGUUUGUUUGCUUUUUUCUUUUUUUUUUGUAACAGGUUUACAAAAUCUCCAUUGGAGCAGCUUGCGGACUCUCUUGGCCGUCCGAUCGUCUCGUGAUCCAAGUCCUUGACGAUUCAACUGACCCUGCCAUCAAGGUAGUAUACACCACCCCACCCUC